UAUUGUAGGGUACUUCAUUAACAGUUCAUAGAUCUUUGUAUGAUUUUGGUGCUCUUACAUUCAUUAAUAAUAAUCUUAAAUAAUAUCUUUCGCCUUCUUUUGGAUAACAAGUUACAACACGUCCAAUAACAUUACCUUUUUUGUUGAGUCCACAUUUUAUAUUGCACCCACCAUACAAAGUAUUGUGGGAAUUCUUUAUACAAUAGGUUCAGUUCUUUAGCAUCUUCAUUUUCUCUAUUCAUAAUGAAGAAUUCUGUCAACAUUGUUUUUCUAAUCAUCAGAUUAUUUAUAAUUGAAUCAACGCUUGUUGCAAUCUUAAAAGAAAUGAAUUGUUGUCCCUUAAGAUGCAAUUUAAGAUAAUAGAUAGUUGGAUUCAUUUCAUUAAUUGGGAAAGUAAAUAAACGCCACGUAGCUUCUGUUGGAGAUACCCAUCUAGCAAGCGAUACUCUUUUAUUUCAUCGAUUUCUGUUUCGAUAUCAUUAUUGUGUAUGUGAAAUGCAAUUUUGUCAUGUCCUUUGCAGAUAUACUUGUAAAUGUAUUUAACAGCUCUAAUAUCUGAAUAAAUUUCAACAUUUAUAUGACACUUAAAUUUGCUAAGUAAGAAAGGAUUGUACGGGACAACCCAUGAAUUAUCAAGGUAUUUAGUUCUGACUUUUACAAGAUCUCCUAUUUUUUGCCUUCUAUAAAUUGGGGUAUGAAUUAUUGCCUUUUGAUGUUUGAUCGGCAAAAUCUUUUGGACCUUGUUUUUGCAUACAUAAUUUCGUUGGAUAUAAAUUUCCAUUAGGUCCAUGUAUCAUAUACAAUUGAACAAGUGACCGUAAAUAUUCUUGUGAAUUAGCAUCAAGUAAUUUUGUACAACCACAUUAUCAUAAGAUUUUGGAGUCAAUAAUUUAUAGUAAUUGAUAAGUAUAACAAGAAAGUGUGCGUGGGGUAGACCACGUUUUUGAAACUCUAUCAUGUACAUGAAAGCCACAACUUUUUUGAAAAUAUUUCUUUUCAGUAUGUCUGUCUUAAUCUCUUCAAUUUUUGCUCUAAAUUCUCUACUAACUAAAUCAGGUCUAUUUUGUGCUUCAUCAGCUCAUAAUAGAUGGUCUUUUAUUUCUGGCCACGAUGGGUUACAAGUUAUGGUUAUGAAUAAAUCAGGUUUACCAAAAUGUUGUACUAAAGCAGUAGCGUCCAUGUAUCAUCGACGCAUAUCUCUUGGUCCUCCAGUAAAACUAAUAGGAAUGAAUAUUUGUUUUCCAAUAUUAGAAGCAUUUGUUUCCCUAAGUCGUAAAACAUUGAGGAAGCCCUGUAAUAUUUCUGUUCUAAACAAAUCUGGAUUAAAUGAAUAGAAAUAUAAUCUUUGUAUUUUAAGUUUUAUGUAUUCAUCUACUAAAAACUAUUGAAGCAAUCUUCCAGAAUGUAAAGUUUCAUUUGUUUCAUUUUCUCUCAUUUGAAGUUUGGAACAAUAACAUUCACGAACAGAUGUAAUAUCUCUUUUUCGCUUUCCUUUUUCUAAAUUUUGAGCCUCCAUAUCAAGAUAUCCAUCAAUAGAACACAUAUUUUUGAUAUUUGAUAAAUGUUCAUGUUCACAAUAAGCUUGGUGUUCAGAAGUUCCUUUUGGUGGGGGAAUUUUUUUUAUACCACAGUGCCAGCCGCUUUGGCCCUAUGAAAAUAAUAAUGGGUAUUGUAACAGAUCAUAACAUCCAUAAUAGUAGUUCAAUAUUUAAUAUCUACUUCUAGGAGUAUAAAUUCGAAUAUGGGGUGUGGAACUGAUUUCGUUGAAUUAUUUUUCAACCCAUAUUACUUCCACUUCUGAUGUAUUUGGAAGGUUGUAUACCCAUUGAUCUAAACCAGAGCCACUAUUAAGUGCAAUGUAAAAGUUUGAUAGGUCCGGAACAUCUAUUAAGGAUUUAAGGAAAAUAGAAUAUGGAUUAAUUCUCAAUAUGUUUAUAAGCUUUAAAACUAUUGAUUCAUGAAAUUUAGCUGAGCAUGCCAUUCGAUUAGCUAUUUCGUUAUCGGUAUCAUGAAAGUAUAGUUUAAGGUUUUUUGCUAUUUGAUCAGCAGGGAGUAAGUCAUUUAUAAAGUGGUACAUCUGACCCUGAACUCUGAAUGUGUAGAUACCAUCAUUUCUUUUUACUAAUUCUUUGUCAUAAUUUAUGCCAAGUGAUGUAAAUGCAAACAUAUUAUUGUUUGUUCUAAUGUAUGUUCGAAAAUGCACAUAUUUUUCAGUAUUUCCAAAGUAUAAAUGUGAUAGCCCGAGUUUUCCCAUUAAAUAUUUUGAUCCCAAAUGUGUCGAGUCAUUAAAGCCUUUUUAUCUUUCCAAAAGUCCGUUAAGAUCUCGGACAAAAAUGUGUUGAAUUCUAUUCUUUAUCGUGAUUAAUAAUUUUUUUGUGUGGAAUUUCUGGAUAUGCGACCCGUCAUCGCGUAGAUCAUCAAAUAAGAUUUCCAACGAUAUGUGGAUCAUCCAAAAAGGACACUCGAGCGAUGAGUUAUGAUCAUUCCGAUCUAAUCGUGAAUAGUGGUGAACAUGAAUAGUAAAUAUGCAGGAAAAAUACUGAGGCUAGGCGAAUUUUAAGGUCAACUUCAAACGAUCAUAACUCCUUGUACAUAAUGCUAUGGGUGAGCUACUAUAUAUCAACAGAAAUCUCUGAGAGUCCUCUUUCCAAUGAAAUUGGUUUCAUUCAAUUUGUACAUCAGAACAAAAGGUUAUGGUCGAUCUACUUCAGCCUACCAAAACAGUCCACCAAAGGACAGAUUUGACAUUAUUUGAUUUUUAAGGGUAUUUUGGUCAUUCCCACUCCAAUCCAUCCGGGUAAACCAUGGAUUUAAGUCCAUUAAGAGCAUUCAAUAGCUCAUUUUUCUCUAAAACUAUCUAAGGCUCAAACCCCAACCCUACUACUUCAAAUUUCAUCCUUCUAUGUCUCUUGAUUGAACCGUAGAAAUUUCAAAUUAAUUUGAGAUUCGAGUUGAUCAUGUUAAGGGCUUCGAGAAUCACCCUUUAUUUUCGUGAAUAAAGUUCCGGAGUCGAAAGUUCAUAUUCAUCUUUCAUUUUUAGGUAUGCUUUGAACAAGAAUAAUUCUUCCGUUCUUAUGCCCGUAUCUUUAAUUUUUAUUAUGAAUUAUUAUGAGUUUGGCAAAUGAAUUUAUUUUCAAGAUAUCCUACCAUGAGAUUUUGAUUAUGUAUAUAUGUAAAUUGUUCAAGCUUGCCAAUUAUGAUUAUUUAAUGGAUUCAUAUGGUUCUGUAAGUCAAUUUAUGUCUGAAUAAUUCGAUUAUGAACUUAUAAAGAUUUGAAUUGUAAGUUUUGAAUCACAUGAGUAUUUGACUAUUUUCGUUCUAUGAAUUGAGAUUUAAUAUUGAGAUUCUUGGUGUUUCUAUCAAGAAUUGAUAUAUUUUGAACAUGUAUCCACGCUUUAAGUUCAAGAAUGAAUUAUUGGUAUUUUCAAGUGUUUUCGAGCCAUGUGUCAAAUUUUGAGCUUCCUUAUGACAAUUUGAGUUAUUGGGUAUAUUGAUAUCNNNNNNNNNNNNNNNNNNNNNNNNNNNNNNNNNNNNNNNNNNNNAUAAAUGAGAAAGAGAUUUGAUUUGGUCUUUAUGAUAGACCCUUGUGAUGUUGUGGUGGAUUUCCUAAUGUGUUCUGAGCUUGUAGGGGAGUAGUACUUAGCACCGAGAGGGAAAUUUGGUAUUUUCUCAAACCUAUGUGCCACCGUAAGGUUAUUUGAUGAUGAUAUUAUUGGCCAGAGAGCCUGAUUGUGAUUAUUGUAGUUUUAAGGUCGUACUCCCUGACAAAGAGUAUGGCGCUCCUGCCAACGGGGGUUUCAAACGUUGGUAUUCCACGUAGCUCACGUGGGGUUAUCGAUUAUAGGAAACUCCCGUAUCCAUAAGAUUAAGUUUCUUGAAUUACCGAGUCACUCCAAGAUUUGAGUCAAAGAGUUGAGAUGUGUAUGAUGUUUUAUGGUCAUUUAUGAUGAUUUAUAAUUACCUAUGAUGAUUUUUGACGAUAUGAUAAUUUAUGAUGAUUUAGGAUAAUUUAUCAUAAUUUAUGAUUUAUAAUGAUUUACGUGGAUUACGAAAUUUUAUCAUAUGAACUGUUUAUUAUGAAAUUACAAAAAGUAUGAUUUGAUAUAACUCAAGCCAAAUGAGUCAUCAUUGUCCGUAUGCAUGUUUUCAUGAAAUUGAUUAUACUAUUUAUAUUGUUUCAUGCACCUCCACAUACUCAAAAUAUUUCAAAGUGCUGACCCACAUAUUUCCAUGGGCUACAUUCUUACCAAAUGUAGGUACAAGCUGUAGCACACAUAUCAUGUUUAGCUGGGUCGCAGCUCUCGAUCGGCAAGUGAUUAGUCCUUUUGAUUCAGGGACUUGAGUUGUUCAAAUUUGUGGUGUAUUAUAUUUUAUGUAUUCAGUCGUAUUGAUUAGGGGUAGUUGGGAGUCAUGACCCAACUACCUAUAGUCAGUACUAGUAGAGGCUUCAUAGACAGUCAGUAGAAGUUGAUGUAUUCAGUUUAUGUUUGUUGGAAAAAGCAGAGUUGUAAUUUGUAAAUUCAUGUUGUUUUGAGAAAAUUCAUAAAAGAUUUAUAUUCCGCAUUAUUCUUUUAGAUUUAUGUAUUUUAUUCAGUUGCUUAUGAGUUAUGCCAGUAGGAGGGUUAGCUUAGGGUCACUUGUGACCCUAAUCACCGUGUGACGUCUCGGGAUCCAUUUUUGGGGUGUUACGAACUUAGCAUCAGAGCACAGAGUUCAAGUGUCCUAGGGUGUCUAUGAAGCCAUGUCUAGUAGAAUCUAGAGGACCGGUACGGAGACGUCUAUACCUUUUUUUGAGAGGCUACGAGGCAUUUAGGAAAAUGUUCAUUUUCUUUCAAGUCAUAGAUCGUGCUGUGGAAAGGUUCCUUAAGAAAUUCAUACGAGUUCAUACCAUGCAUAAAUUGGGCCAUUUCGCCUUGUUCUAAAAUGCCGGAUAUAGUCAAGCGUAAAUCCUUAUAGAUGGUGCUUUCUUAGAUAAUCUCCUCUGAUAUUAUGGGCUUGUAAGUGAGCUAAAAAAAUGAUUUCAUUAGUGCUCUUGAGUUUCGAAAAAUUGAUAUAUCAUAUGUACGUUCUUGAAGGUUGUGCAUUAAGACUAUGUCGAAAGUGUUUUUGGAUUUCUCCCUAGAAUUCAUUAUGUGAUUUUGUAUUUUCCUUAUCCGUGUACUAAUGUUGAGACAGGGUGAUUAACUAGUUCCAAUUUCCUCUCUUGAUUAUAUUCCUGGGCUUACUAGCAAAGGUUCCGUAGCUUUCAAGAUGUACCCUCAUCCUUCUUGAGUCGUUCAGUUGAGGUAAAGCGAGAUACAUCUUCUCAGAUCCUUGAUUAUGGUGUACCAGGAUUUUAUUUAUUGAAAAUAUUUUCUGAUCAUCUUUUGUUGAAAACUUGAAGUCUAGUGAAGCCGUGUGAGGCUUAUUUCGAUUCACUAGCAUAAUUUUUUUGAUAUUUAUUGCCUUUUUCAAAAUACAAAACUAAAGUCUAGUGAAGCCGUGUUAGGCCUGUUUUGAUUCACUAGCAGCUAGCUGUUUACUCUGUUGUUCUUGUAUUGGUUGGAACCAGGGGGUUGGAAACGUGGUGGAAGGCGGUGUUAAUAAACUAUUAUGGCAUAGGCCAUAGAAUUGUGGAUGAUUAUUAUCGUUAUGAGGUUUUGGUGGACUAGUAUGUUUGGGGUGUUUGAUAUAUGGAAAUGGUUGUUGAGAUUGUUGUUAAUCGUAGUCAGAGUGAGUUGUUAAGUUUGUAUAGCGGGUGAUGAGAAAAAUGAAUUUAAUGAUUGAAUUGCUACAACGUUAGUGAUAGGGAGGAGAUUUAGUAGGUUUAAACCAUAUGUACGGGAUCUUAAGUCUAUUUGUUUGUGAUCAAGUGUGAUAUUGUGUGUUGAGGUAGUAGUAUGCUCAAGGUGUUAUGGGGAAUUUUUUUAAGUUAUUAAAUGUUAAGCGGUUAGUGUUAUCCUUGAUUGAGUAAGUAUGAAUGAUGAUAUGUGGUAUAAGAUGUAAUUGUGAGUUAACUUGGGCAUUAGAGGUUGACGAGGGUGUUAGCUUGAGAUGUGAUGUUAGUAAAGCACGAAUAAGUUAGUAUGGUUUAGCGAAGGUUUGAUGUAUCCAUGGUAAGUGCUAGAAUCUAAGCUGCNNNNNNNNNNNNNNNNNNNNNNNNNNNNNNNNNNNNNNNNNNNNNNNNNNNNNNNNNNNNNNNNNNNNNNNNNNNNNNNNNNNNNNNNNNNNNNNNNNNNNNNNNNNNNNNNNNNNNNNNNNNNNNNNNNNNNNNNNNNNNNNNNNNNNNNNNNNNNNNNNNNNNNNNNNNNNNNNNNNNNNNNNNNNNNNNNNNNNNNNNNAAGUCUAAGGGGGAGAUAGUAGGAAAAAAAAUUAACUAAGUUAAGAUUGCGGGAUUCAGGUAAGUGUAUCAGUGGGUUGCAAGUUGGUGGUGAGAAGGAGUGGUGUUGAUCCUAUUUUACCUCAGCCUUUUCAAUGACUUCGAUAUUUUCUCAUGGCUUAUGUUUCAUUCCCCAAAUCAUAAUACAUGUUCAUGCAUAUCAUGGGAAAUCAUGUAUUCUCCUAACUAUUGAAAUAUGGAGUCUCAAUAUUUCUAGCAGGCAAAAUCGACAUUCCAUAAUCUAUAAACUCCAAAAUCAAGUUGCGCAGUUCAUAAUGUAUGUGCUUAAGUUUUAUUAUAUUUUCAAGUUCAGUCCACCGGAAACACCCUUAGCGACCAAUAAGAUUCAAUUUAUGUCCUAGGUGUCCUUAAUCUUUAAUCUUGAUUCUAGUUGAAUUCAUGCAUUUGAUGCCCUAGUUCUCCGGCCUCAAUAACAACACCAAGUCAUACACAAUAUCCCUUUAUAUUCUACCCUUUCAUGACUUUCCAUUUGUUGAGGGAGUGUGGAUGAACAGUGGUGACGAUAGGAGAGAGUGAGCAGGUUUUUGUUGAUAAAGAUAGUGGCAGGUUCAUUUUAGCUAAGGUGGAAAGUGUGGAGUAAGCUUGAGGCUAGGAUUUUGAUGGAUGUCAUGGUUAUUUGAAGCAUUUCGUGUUGUGUUUGUGAAAGUGGUUGUGUGAUGGUUUAUCUAGGUUUGUAGUUGGGGAAUUGUUGAAGUGAAGUCUUGUGCAUGGCUUAGUUCAUUGGAAAAGUUAGUGAGUGUUUUCUUAAGAAUAGUGCCCGGAAGUUGUCUUAAUAAAGGAUUGUAGAAUUUGAAAAAGGUGUUUUAUGGGUGUUGAUUAGGAGUAUAUACAUAAUUAUAAGGAUAGGCUUGAACAUCAUGUGUGUAUAUAUGGACAGAGAUUAAAGUUUAUAUUAUCGAUAAGUUUUGGUGUCUAUGUUGAUUUAGAAGUCUAAGCUAAAAGCUCUUGUAAAUUGAUCUUGCAUAGCACUCAUGUCUUGUGAAUAUAUCUCCUGUCUGAGGAUAUUAGUUGCAAGCCUUGUCCUUGCUAUAAGUUGAAUUGCGUAUAUGUCUAUGAAUAGUUCCCUAAGCUUCAAGACUUGUUAAUAUGAAUAUGAUGCUUGAAAAUGGAGAGUAUUAAGUGGAUUAGUGUUGAUUGAGUGGUAAUAAGAAUUAUCUGUGAGAUGAGGAAUUGUAACAAUGUGGAUGUGUGUAAAUUUAUAAUUCGAAAUGAUUCUAUGUUACGAUGUUAGGUGGAGGAAUUGGUGACUCCAAAUUAAGCUUGAAAAUAAGGAGAGAGAGUUUGGCUUAGUUAGAUUUGAAUAGCCAAGAUUGAAAAUGCCUUGUGAGAAUUAUGAAUUGAAUCAAGUAAGUAUGGUAUUUGGGGAAAAUAGUAUUGAGGAGAAAGGGUGUGCGAAGCAUAUUGAUAAGCUUGAAAGUAAGGAGUUGUACUGUGUGGGGUCUAGAAAACUAACCUGAUGAAGCCAUUGUUGCAACAAAAUCCAGGAGCCUCAUAUUCGAAUCUUUUUGCACCGCAAAAUUUACAAAGAAGAACAAUCAUUAAAUGGACGUUUUCAGAUAACGCUUCUCAUAUAUUUACAUGGCCUGUGUUUCAUUACCUGUGAGCUGCAUAUUUUUUUUCAUUACAUAAUUAGAUAAAUAGAAUGAAGUUGCAAGUAGAAUAUGAUAGUAUUACAACAAAUGAUUAGGGCAAACCUUUAUGUUGAAUAAUUUUUGAAGCCACAUCACAUUCCAAGUUAGAUGCAGCAGGUGUUGAGCCUAACACUAGAAAACAACAGGUUAAUUUUGUGUAAUAGUUACAGCACAAGAGAAUAAAAAAAUUAUUUUGGUCAUAGCACUCAGCUACUUGAUUCAUAGAGAAUGAGUAAGGUAUGUUCUUUUGCUUAUCACAGGUAGCGGGUAAAGCCAUAAGAUGAGAUUUAUUGGUUAAAACAUUUACCAUAAUGUAUUUUUAUGGACAGUUAGUUAUAAUCAAUUGUAAAACAGAAGAAUGAAGCAUUGUAAUAAAACCUGUUGUUGAAAUAGUGGAGAAGUCCAUUGAAACAAGAUUUUGAGAUACAAAGGUAGAUGCACCAGAUGUUGAGCCUAAUGCGCAUUGAAAGUUAGUUUCGCACAACAAUUGUAUUGGAAAUGAAAACAAUAUUAGAUCUGUUAUCCACUUUACAUAAUUAUAGAGACAAAGUUACCGGUUUCGUGAAUCACAAAGGGGAUGCAUAUAUCUUUUCCUUUUUCGGAAUUGUGGAAAAAUGCGGUGACUUGUAUUUGAGGAAGGGUAACUGAUACAAAGAACAGACACGACAACACACAUAAAUUGGAUAAUAUUAAUAAAUUUCAUUUUUUGUAAAAUGAAAAAAGGUAUGGUGUUUGGUAUGAUAAUACCACCUAUUUCAGUAAGAGGAGUCGAUUCUCGUAUGAUCAAAGGAGUUUGUUUCGGGAGUUUUGAAUUGUAACAAGAUGAUGUGGUUGGUCGGAUGUGCCUCCUUGCAUGAAAACAAUUAAAUGCCAAAGAAAAUCUCACAAUGUGUCAGAAUGAAAAGAUCUAACUUAACUACAAAAGAGUGAGAUUUAAUAGCUUAACACAUAUAAUGGAUUGCAUAUUUACUAUCUGGAAUUUUUAGUCGAAAGCUGAAAUAUUUCAAUUUAUUUGAUAAAAAAAUGGAGGACAAAGUUUGGUGAAGUCAACUGUUGUUGUAGAAAUAGUAUAAAUAUAUGUUGGAGAAGGAUUGGUAGACAUGGAGCAAUGACAAUCUCCAUGAGCUCCAAAUUGAGCUUGUACAUGUAACAGAGAAGGCAUUUACUGUCAUGCAAUUAUAACUGAAAAGCGAGAUUCUUCAAUUUAGUUUUGCAAAAGUGUUGAGGAGAAAAGUUUGAUGAACUUACCCGUCGUUACGAAAAUAGCAGAGAACUCUAUCAAAAGAGGAUUAUUAGACAUGGAUUGACUGCAAGUCAAGUGACCUGCUUGUUGAAUUUGUACAGGAAAACCUCCAACUUUAGAAAUAGUAAUUUUCUUUAACUCUUGUCUGUUUGCUCGGCGCUGCGGCAAAAACGCUUCUUUUUUUCCUGCAGAAACUUGUUUAUAUAUUUCACAUCAUCGAAGCUUCAUCCCAGCAUCCUUUUUUGCUGAGUAGGAUUGGUUAUUUUUAUCACAAGUCAUUACACCUGCGGGUUCAGCGAUCACAUCAGCCUUAAUUUGAUGAAAAAAGAACUUUCACUGCACAAGUUAUCUUAAAUGUCAACAUACUGUAUAUAAUAGGUAUGUAAAUCUUUCAAGCAAUGUUAAGAAGUCGAAGAGAUUAGUAUGUACAGUAAAUAAGUGAGAUUCAUCUUCAGAUAGAAUCCCACAUUUUGGAUAGAGUUAUUUUUCACAUUGUUUGACCCUUGUAUUCUAACAACAGCAAAAGGAAUUUCAUCCAAGAAGAAAAAAAAAAGAUACCAGCCUUUUUGAUAUGCCACAAUCUUUAAGCUUUGAUAGUGACAUCUGCAGUCAAGAAAAUACUUCUUGUCGUGAUAUAGAUACAUGCAAAAAGCAAAAGAAAAUAUGUUUGAAUUUAAAGACGAAAAAAACUCAAUCUGUUCAGAGUGAUUGCUUCACUAGUGCAUGUCAUUCAAAUCAGGACAUCAAAGGUAUGCGCUUGAAAUUACGGUAGCAAAAGGAAAAUUCUUAUUUCUUCAAUGAAUAUUGAAUCACCCCAGCAUUAAGAAGCUUUUCAGGAUACCUUUUAAUAAAAAUAAACUUAUCAAGAAAUGGCCAUCCACUACCAGCACCAACUUACCCGCCCAACUUUUUGAUUUUCUAGGGCAUAUCUAUUUAGGAUGUAGCAUACAAAGAUCUGGAUCUUAAUCAAAAUAAAUAUUAGUUGUAUCUAAUGUUUAUUUAGAUAUAUAUCCUUCUAUAUAUAUAAGACUUUGUUUGACUCCACAAGAUUAAAGGGAAAUUGUAAAUAUUUUCUGAAAUCUUCAUCUUUUUAUUGCCAUCUUCUUUCAUUUAGGCAUUUCUAGAUUCUCUUCGGAAUUUUCCCCAAGAAGUAACAACACCGGUAGAAACACCUAACAAAAACUCACCACAAAAUUCAAAUGAAUAGGUGUACACCGAUCAACAUUUCGGAAGGCACAAAGGAAUCAUCAAAUACAGUAGAUAGAUUCUUGAUAUCAUUCUAGUAAAGGUUAAAUCUACAAGUUCUAAUCAGCCAGUAUACUAUACAUUACUUUUUCUUUUUUUUUCUUUUUAACAACCAUGGUGUCCAAGACAGCUUGCUCGCAUCUCAACUAAUUUCAUGAGAUACCUGUCAUCUCUCACUCCCACCAGCAGCAACAACAGGUUCUAACUCAGUCUGCCAAGACUAAGACAGAUGGGAAGAAAUCACCUAAUUUUUUUGUCUCCAUUGAUAUUUGAAUGGAUAUUAGCCAAAAAUGAUCUUAGUAUGAAACUACCAAAUUGUGAAGUAAUUGUGUGUUAACUGAUAAUUUGUGACAUCUAUAAAAAAAUUGAUAUUUUCUAAAAAUUAUAAAACUAAAUACAACAACAACAAAGCCAGUGUAAUCUCACAAGUCGGGACUAGGUAGGGUGGCGUGUAUGCAAUCCGAAAUAUGCUUUCUUUAAGAAGUAUACCUACACUUUACAUACAUACAAGACAUUGGUCCUUUCUUACUCAUGAUUUCUUAUGUUUUAUAUCAUUCAAGAUAGUUUUGUUUUUUUAACAUAAUCUACUACUAUGGCUAAGACAUUGACAUUUUAAAAAUAAAAGUCUCAUAACCAACAGGCAAAUAAAAGGCACAGUUAAAUCAAUUCGUAGGGCAUGGACAUUUUAAGAAUAAACGUCUUAAUUUUAGUGCGCUUUCAUAUCUUUCAUUAACUAAAAUGACUCUCAUUACUCUUUACAGGCUAUUAGUUAUUACUGUAACCGAAUGCAGACUGUAAGGUUGGUGUGAUAAAGUUGGCGAUGAAGGAGUAGUGAAUUUGACUUAUGGUUGUCGUAAUCUCAAAGCCAAAAAGAGUCAACACACAUCCAGAAAAGUUGACAUUACGAAAAUAUAAUUAUCAAAAUAAGAUUAUUGUGGAUUUAGAACAAUACAAAUACACGACAGGCAAUUGUUUGUUCAAAGUUUACAUCAAUAAUGCCUAUGAUAGGUAUUGUCAACAACAGCCGGAAGUUUUCAAAAAUGAGGAAUGCUUAAUCAACAUCAUCAAAGGCUUUAGCAUUCCAGGUGGCUUACCUUGGCAUUUAGUCGAUGAAAUGUACAUCCUAAUCAAUUAUGGUGAUGAGUUCCAUUGGGUGUUGGCUGUCGUCGUUCUAAAAGAGAGGUGCAUCCGAUUUUAUGACUCAAUGUAGCGAAGGAGACGUUUUGGACCGUCGUCUGAGAUACAAAAGUUGGCCAAAAUAUUGCCUACUUACCUUGAUAUGAGUGGUUUUUUGGACGAAAAGGUUCGUACUGAUUGGUCGAUGAUUAAAGCAUACCGAGAUAAAAUGGCUAAUCCAUUUGAUAUACAAUAUAUUGAAGGAAUUGCUCAACAAAUCAUUAGUAGCUUGUAAGUACAAGUAUCAUGAUUUAGUUUCAUUUCACAAAUUUCACAACGCUUACAUGAACUGCAAGAUAUGGAUUAUCUGCUUUUUAAAACACAAGGAUUGUGGUCCUUUUGUUGCUGCUUACACUGAGUAUUUGAGCAAUGGAUUACAAGUACCAAAUGAUGGCCUUGAUUUCGGAUUACUUCGCAAAAGAUAUGUUGCUCUUUUAUCAAAAUACGGAGAAUCAAAAGCUUAGAAAUCAUACACAAGCGACAUUAAAGAUCCACGACGACCAAAGCCGAAUUUCGUAGCACCGAAUGAAGAACAACUUGUCCAUAUUAAGUAGAUCUUUAUAGAUUGGUUCUUUCAAUGUAAUAACCUAUCCUCCUUAGUUUAACUUGUGGAUUUACUUACAGAGUAGAUCAUUUGUACCCACAAUGAUUUUUUUAACAUUUCAUUUAUUUAGUGAGUUAUUUCAUGUAAUUUCCGAAGGCUUUGAUUUAUUUUAUGUUGUCUAUGAAUAUAAUUUAAUCCUUAGGUUGAACAUGUUAAUUGAAAUGGAGUACUAGAUUAAAAUAUCGCAACAGAUAAUACAUCUGCUACAACAAAUGAUAUAUCUUAUCAAACAGAUUUAGACAUAUGUUGCAAUAUGUAGGUCAUCUACUGAAAAUUAUAUAACAGGCCUUUCUAUUUUUUUGAUUUGUUCCAAUAGAUUACCUAUCAGUUGCAACAGAUAUAUUAUAUGUUGCGAUAGAAUGUAUGUCUGCCAUGACAGACAGGCUGGGAAACAUCUGCAUAAGAUAAUAGAUGACCAACUUAUUCCAACAGAUAAUCAAUCUGUCACAACGGGUAUUAUAUUUGUUACAACAGAUAGAUAAUUUGUUGCACUAUAAAAAUUCAACUUUUGCCAGACAUAAAAAUUAUUGACACUACAUGUAAUAUAAACUAAGUGAAGUGGCUUGAAAUAAAAAAAAUUAUCGUGUUCGUCUCUAUCUUUGUACAUAUUCUUCUUUAUACAGGGGCUCUAACCAUUUAGUUAGGUGAUCUGCUAGAAAUUAUAUAACAGGUUUUCCUACACUUUUUGAUUUAUUCUAACAGAUUACCUAUCAGUUGCAACAGAUAGAUUAUAUAUUGCAACAGAUUGUAUAUCUGUUGUGACAGACAACCAGGAAACAUCUACAUAAUGCAUCAGAUGACCAACCUAUUCCAAUAGAUAAUCAAUCUUUCACAAUAGGUAUUAUAUCUGUUACAACAGAUAGACAAUCUAUUGCACUAUAAAAAUUUAACUUUUGCCAGACAUAAAUAUUAUUACCAUUACAUGUAAUGUAAAGUAAGUGAAGUAGCUUGAAAUAAAAAAUUAUUAUCAUUUUUGUCUCUGUCUUUGUACAUAUUCUUCUUUAUAAAUGAGCACCAACCAUUUAGUUAGUACUCCAUAAUCUCAGACCUCUUGCAUCUUUCCCACAAUGGCAUCGCACAUAUAGGAUAUUUCUAUGCCGGUCAGCAAAUACUCGAUGUAUGCAUGCGAGUCCGACCAGCACGCUACACGGGUUUUAUUUUUUGGGAGUUGGAUGUUAUUAUUUCUACCUUCAAAAUCCCAUAAUUUCUUCAUCAAGACUUCCACCGGCAAAUGAUCCAUCAUCUUACUCUGCGUCAACAACUUGGGGAACAACUUCAAGAGUGGUUGCACGUGGGUUAAAAAUGUAUCCUCGUUGAACACAGAUAAGUUGCAGUCAUAAACCUUAAUGUUUCCCUCAUCGAGUAAUAUCUCAACAAUGAGAAAAUAUUUGACUUCCACGUUCAUGACUACAAGGAUUCUCUUUGCCUUGGUCCAGCUCUUGUCGUAUGGAUAUGGCCUCUUCCCUCUAACAUAUUUAUCAUGUCUUUAUCCCAUUCGAAUAUAAAAACUAACUUAUCAAAUGUCCGACCACCAGUACCAGCUCGCCUACGGAGAUCAUCAUACCUAUCCUUGAAAUUGUUAUAGAAGUUGAGGUCUAUUAUCCUAUAGAAAGUAUCAUAAGCAUCUAGGUACAUUAAUUGCCUGCCCCUUAUGAGGCAGAGAAUUUUAUCAAUAUAUUAUGGUAUAAGAAGGUAAUUUUUAAAUAGAUUAGCAAUUGUAAAGAAGAAAAACAUAGUGAAAAGAUUCUGUUGCAGAGGGUUCUCUGAAUCAGUUCAUAGAUUACCCAGCUGUAACGCCCCAGAAAAUGGGUCACGAAGCAUCACACGGUGCUUGAGACUAUGAAUAGCCCCAAGCUAACCCUUUGAGCCAUUUUCAUUUAGUUCAACACAAAUCAACGGGUUUCCAUAAAUAACCCUCAAAUAUCAAUAGAGUAAUCAUCAUCCAAGAAUAAAAGAAUUUCAAAAAGAUAACAAAAUACGACUUAUUAGUCAACUUCCAACAUCUAUACUAGUCUGACAAGCCUCUAAGAAAAUCAAUAAAACCAGCGAGCCAUUGAGACAUGCCCCAACUGACUCAUACUCAGUUAUCAAAUGUAAACAAUUCCGUGAAACCAACAUCAGACAUCACGUCCUCGGAACAUGAGGACUCAUCACAACAGUUAAUAUAGAACAGUGUGCCCGAAGAAUCACUGUCGAACCUGGAACUGAGCACCUAAACCGACAUUCGGAGAAAAUGCAGCCCACAUCCGAAGAUGUGGGACAGUACCAUGGAAAAGAACUGAGUAUAUAGGGGUGUAUGCAGUUGUAUAAACAUCAUCAUCAUAAAUAUUUAUAAGAAAUAUGCAGAAUGUAUGAAAGACUCACAUAGCUCGAAGAAAAUCAUCAUAAUCAUAAGAGGAUAAAAUAAGUACAAUAACACAUGUGAGUCAUCAUAUAAUUUGUCAAUCACUUUCAGUUCAUCAAGAAUAUCAAUUCUCAUAAUGUAAAUAUCAUUUAAAUCUUUCAAAAGAAUAACUUUCACAUCACUUCACCAUUGACACAAGGAAACACACAUACACUGGGAGAUCCUAUAACCGACAUAAACCAUGUGAGCUACGUACAACCCACGUUGGGGAGAGCCGUCCUAUCCUUGCCACCGGAGUAGGACUAUUGAUAUCAAAUUCACACAAACUAGUGAUCACUAUAUAAAUCAGCCUCAGGCUCACUCCUACGGGGGCACAUAGUUCUAGGGAAGUAAGGUUGCUUUAUACCUUUCACUCGGUGCUAAAGAUUUCUCCCGGACUUAGCUUAGAUCAUUUCAAAGAUAAUCCACAACAAAACAAUUUCGAUAAUAUAUAAAUAUACAUCGGGAGCCAUCAUGCUUCCCAUCUAUCAAAAUCAACCACGUUGUAGAUUUCUUUCACACUCGAGUUCAAAAAAACUCCAUUAAGACCAAAAGGUCAAAUCAUUCAAAAUAUCUCAAAUAUUCAAUAUCAACGUGCUUAUAACACACACUUUCUAAAAAACAAACACAAUUUCUAAUGGGGAUUCACAACCCAAAUAUCAAAAUCAUGAUAAAUAUCGUUCAAGAUUUCAUGCUUUAUAUAACCACACAUGCAAAUUCAUCUUUCAAAAUCAUAAACAUCAAGAUUUCAUAAUAAUCAUCAUAAGAUAUGGGUUCAUGCUUCAAAUUUAUAAAAAAACAAAUAAAAUCAUGCCUUUGUAAAGAAAAUUACUUUGGGCACAAGAACGAAAGAGAGUUCUUAUUGAAAAACCCCACAUACCUUGAAUGAUAAACUUUAGAUCAAUAAUCAUUUUGAGAUGUUAAUAAUGCCUUUGAAUGAUGGUUCUUGGAGUUCUUGAACUAGGAACUUGGAAUCUUGAAUAAAUUUGCAGAAUUAAUGGUGAAGGAGGUUCUUGAAGUUGGAUGUAGGAGCUUAGAAUUUUCUUUUUGAGGGAGUUUGAUUAAAUAUAACAUAUAAUGCUUCUAAUAGGCUUUAAUAUAGGGUUUGGACAGAUUUUGGGUGAGGGGGAAUGACCAAAAAACCCCUAAAAAUAAAAAAAAAUUCUCGAAUCUGUCCUUUGGUGGACUGUUUUGAUAGUCUAAAGUAAAUCAACCAUAACGUUUUACUUCGAUAUUCAAAUUGGAUGAAACCAAUUUCAUUAGAAAGAGGACUCUCAUAUAUUUCCAUUGAUAUGUAGUAUCUCACCCAGAUCAUUGUGUACAAGGAGUUAUGAUCNNNNNNNNNNNNNNNNNNNNNNNNNNNNNNNNNNNNNNNNNNNNNNNNNNNNNNNNNNNNNNNNNNNNNNNNNNNNNNNNNNNNNNNNNNNNNNNNNNNNNNNNNNNNNNNNNNNNNNNNNNNNNNNNNNNNNNNNNNNNNNNNNNNNNNNNNNNNNNNNNNNNNNNNNNNNNNNNNNNNNNNNNNNNNNNNNNNNNNNNNNNNNNNNNNNNNNNNNNNNNNNNNNNNNNNNNNNNNNNNNNNNNNNNNNNNNNNNNNNNNNNNNNNNNNNNNNNNNNNNNNNNNNNNNNNNNNNNNNNNNNNNNNNNNNNNNNNNNNNNNNNNNNNNNNNNNNNNNNNNNNNNNNNNNNNNNNNNNNNNNNNNNNNNNNNNNNNNNNNNNNNNNNNNNNNNNNNNNNNNNNNNNNNNNNNNNNNNNNNNNNNNNNNNNNNNNNNNNNNNNNNNNNNNNNNNNNNNNNNNNNNNNNNNNNNNNNNNNNNNNNNNNNNNNNNNNNNNNNNNNNNNNNNNNNNNNNNNNNNNNNNNNNNNNNNNNNNNNNNNNNNNNNNNNNNNNNNNNNNNNNNNNNNNNNNNNNNNNNNNNNNNNNNNNNNNNNNNNNNNNNNNNNNNNNNNNNNNNNNNNNNNNNNNNNNNNNNNNNNNNNNNNNNNNNNNNNNNNNNNNNNNNNNNNNNNNNNNNNNNNNNNNNAGAGGAAUCUACUACCACAGCAUCGCUAAUAUGCUUUCUAAGCAUGGAGACAUGGAAUAUUGCAUGAACAGAGGACAACUAGGAAGGCAACUCGACUUCAUAAGCUACCUUACCAACAUGGCUAAGAAUUUUGUAAGGUCCAACAUAACGAGGACUAAGCUUCCCCUUCUUUUCGAAUCUCUUUACCCCCCUUAUGGGUGAAAUUUUCAGAUACACUAGGUCACCAACUUCAAACUCAAGGACUCUUCUUCUAACAUCCGCAUAUGACUUCUGAAGACUCUGCGCAGUUUUCAACCUUUCCCUAAUCAACUUAACUUUUUCGAUAGCCUCAAAUACCGAAUCAGGACCACUCACAGCCGCUUCACCCACCUCAAACCAACCUAUGGGUGAUCUACACUUCCUCCCAUAUAAGGCUUCAAACGGAGCCAUGCCAAUACUAGAGUGGAAACUGUUAUUGUAAGCAAACUCUAUCAACGGUAAGUGAUCAUCCCAACUACCCUAAAAGUCAAGUGCACAAGCUCUCUACAUAUCUUUUAAGGUCUGGAUGGUCCGCUCAGCCUGACCAUCGGUCUGCGGAUGAAAAGCAGAACUCAAAAGCACUUGGGUACCAAGACCCUUUUGAAAAGCUUUCCAAAAUUGCGAAGUGAAUUGAGUACACCUAUCCGAAAUAAUAUACAAGGAAACUCCAUACAGUUUGACUAGCUUUCGGAUAUACAAUUUAGCGUAAUCUUCAGCAGUAUAUGAAGUAUGAACAGGCAAGAAAUGAGCAGAAUUAGUCAACCUAUCAACCACAACCCAAAUAGAAUCAUGAUGGCGUCGGGAAAGAGGUAAACCAAUCACGAAGUCCAUAUUUAUCUCUUCCUACUUCCAGGUAGGAAUACUAAACUCUUGCAUUAUACCACCAGGUCUUUGGUGUUCAACCUUAACCUAUUGGCAUAUUGCACACUUAGCUACAAACGCUGCUAUAUGUUUCUUCAUACCACUCCACCAAUAGAUUUCCCAUAAGUCUCGGUAUAUCUUAGUGGCACCAGGAUGACUAGAACAUCGCACCCCUGUGCUUCAGCCAUAAUCCUCUAUCUUAGAUCAUCAACAUUCGGGACACACAAUCUACCCUGCAAUCUCAACACACCAUCUCCCCCUUGGGAGAAAACCUCUACUUUUUGGUCCUUGACCGACUCCUUCAGUCUGACCAAACUAGCAUCUAAGUAUUGCUUUUCCUUCACUUCCGAAAUGAAGGAGGAUUUGAAACUACUCUGAACCCCUAUACUACCUUUAGCAGUGUCAAACAACCUAACCCUCAAUCUAUCCAAAUGAUGCACAUCACGAGCCAACUCUUUCUUACCUUCUACCACAUGCGAAACACUACCCAUGGACACUCUACUUAGGGCAUCCACCAAAACAUUGGCCUUGCCCAGAUGGUACAGCACACUCAUAUCAUAGUUUUUUAACAAUUCUAACCAUCAUCUCUGCCUAAAAUUCAAUUCUCUCUGGGUAAACACAUACUACAGAAUCUUAUGAUCAGUGAAGACAUCAACAUCGACACCAUACAAAUAGUGUCUCCAGAUUUUCAAAGCAAACACAACAGCAGCCAACUUAAGGUCAUGGGUGGGGUAGUUUUUCUUAUGGGGUUUCAAUUUUCUAGAAGCAUAAGCUAUCACCUUACCCUUCUGCAUCAAUACGCAACCCAAACCAACUCUCAAAGCAUCACAGUAUACCACAAAACCAUCAACACCAUCAGGCAAAGUCAAAACAGGGGCUGAAGUGAGUCGAGUCUUCAACUCCUGAAAACUCUUCUCACAAGAUUCGGACCACAAGAACUUCACUUUAUUUUGGGUCAACCGAGUCAUAGGAGAUGCUAUAGAGGAGAAACCCUCAACAAAACGGCGGUAAUAGCUAGAUAAACCUAAGAAACGUCAAAUAUCAGUAGGAGAAAUAGGUCUAGUCUAAUUUUUAACAGCUUCGGACUUUUGGGGAUCAACUCUAAUACCCUCAAAAGAAAUGAUAUAACCCAGAAAAGCAACUGACCUUAGCCAAAACUUACACUUACUGAACUUGGCAAACAACUUGUGAUCUCUAAGGGUUUGCAAGACAGUUCGGAGAUGAUCAAAAUGUUCAUCCUCACUACGGGNNNNNNNNNNNNNNNNNNNNNNNNNNNNNNNNNNNNNNNNNNNNNNNNNNNNNNNNNNNNNNNNNNNNNNNNNNNNNNNNNNNNNNNNNNNNNNNNNNNNNNNNNNNNNNNNNNNNNNNNNNNNNNNNNNNNNNNNNNNNNNNNNNNNNNNNNNNNNNNNNNNNNNNNNNNNNNNNNNNNNNNNNNNNNNNNNNNNNNNNNNNNNNNNNNNNNNNNNNNNNNNNNNNNNNNNNNNNNNNNNNNNNNNNNNNNNNNNNNNNNNNNNNNNNNNNNNNNNNNNNNNNNNNNNNNNNNNNNNNNNNNNNNNNNNNNNNNNNNNNNNNNNNNNNNNNNNNNNNNNNNNNNNNNNNNNNNNNNNNNNNNNNNNNNNNNNNNNNNNNNNNNNNNNNNNNNNNNNNNNNNNNNNNNNNNNNNNNNNNNNNNNNNNNNNNNNNNNNNNNNNNNNNNNNNNNNNNNNNNNNNNNNNNNNNNNNNNNNNNNNNNNNNNNNNNNNNNNNNNNNNNNNNNNNNNNNNNNNNNNNNNNNNNAGUCUCAGACUUAGUGUCUUUGACUCUAACUAAAUGGUAAAUACACCUCUUGGAAAUAACCUUUCUAGCUUUGAGAUAAGAGGUAAAAUAACUCUUAGGUGACACAGAAUUCCCAGACUACUCAAACACGGAUGCACCCAAAAACUGAAACUUGACCACUCGGGUCCGACAAUCAAUAGAGGAAUAAAAAGAAUAUAGCCAGUCCAUACCCAGAAUCACAUCAAAAUAUACCAUGUAUUACUUAAUCAGAUCAGCCAACAAGACCCUAUGAAGAACAGUAACAGGACACUUUUUAUACACUUUCUGUGCAGCAAUCGAAUCACCCACUGGGGUAGAAACUAGGAUAGGCUCAGGAAUAAUCUCAGGACUCAUUUCAAAAUUCACAGCAAUCAAAGGUGUAAUAUAUGAGAAACUGGAUCCAGGAUCCAACAAAGCAUACACAUCAAACUGAAAUAUACGAAGCAUACCAGUAACAAUAUCGGGAAAGUCCUCUUAUUCUUGGCAGGACGGUAAAGCAUAGAAUCUAUUCUGUCGCUGCCCGCCAGCAUUGCUAGAGUAGGUGCCUUGAGCUGGGGCUGGGCGAGUUGUUGGAACCGGAGCACUAACAGUCUGAGUCUGGGUCUGAGAGCGAUAGUCACGAUGCCCUUGUCCAUCCUAUGGAUAAUCUCUAACUCUGUGACCCAUGUCACCAUACCGGAAACAACCCCUCUUCUCACCCCAAAACUCACCCGAAUGAGCCCCACCACACUUAGGACACAGGGAAUGAUUUGGCUUACUGCCAACACUGUACUGUGACCUGGAUGCAUAUGACCUGGUACCUUGCUCCUGCCUACCUCUAGGCACGGGAGCACUAGCAGAUGACGGUGCUGGCAUAGACAAAUGAUCCUGAUAUUGAAGGCAACUCCCUCUCUGUGAUCUAGUCUGACCUUGUCUGUGCUGCUCGAACUUAGCUCUCUUAUUCCCUGUCAUUCUAUCUCUCUCUUUAAUCUUGUCUGCCUUAACCUGUUGGGCAUGAUUCAUCAGCCUAGAAAGAUUUAUAUCACUAUUCAGCAUAGCAGACCUACACUCCUUAACCACAUAACUAGACACUCCUGUAACAAACUUACUCAUACUAGCUCGAUUAUCUGCCACUAAGUCAAGAGCAUACUUGGUCAACUGAUUGAACUUUAGACAGUACUCCCUAACAGACAUAGAGACCUGUUACAGGUUCAUAAACUCUUCCACCUUUGCCUCCCUCAUCUCCAAAGGGAAAAACUUAUCCAGGAAUACAUCUUGGAACUCUUGCCAAGUUGUAGGGACAGCUACCUCACCUUUACCUUUUCUCCAAGUAAAAACCUAGUCACAAGCAAGGUCUUUCAACCUAUACGCAACUAACUCCACACUAUGUUCCUCAUAUACAUACACUACCUGAGUAAUCUUCCACACCUCCUCUAAAAAUAACUGUGGAUCUUCAUCAGACUUGGACCCAUAGAAUUCUGGUUGAUUCAUCCGUAUGAAGUCACGGAUCCUAGCAGCAGCUGAAUCACCUCCCUGCUGCUGUAGAGCCGGGGUCGGGUUGGCCUAAAUAUUUGCAGUAACAGCUUGGGCCAGCGCCUGAAAGACUGCCCAAAAUUCAGCAUGAGACACAUUUUCAUUUAAUGGGUCAGCGGGAUGAGGUUGCUGACCAUCAUUAUUUUAUCUCGCUCAACGUAGAGGCAUAUUUUUGAAAGAGAAGAGCAUGAAUCAAUAGAUGAGAGAGACACUUUAAGCACGAUAGACUUCUGAAAGAAAGAAUUACACUUUUCCCUAAAACGUCUUGUAGCCUCUUGCUCAUAGAUGUGGCGCGUUACACACCGAUGAUCAAGACUCUACUUAACGCAGCUUGUCAGACUCCCUAGGACACCUUAAAACCUUAGGCUCNNNNNNNNNNNNNNNNNNNNNNNNNNNNNNNNNNNNNNNNNNNNNNNNNNNNNNNNNNNNNNNNNNNNNNNNNNNNNNNNNNNNNNNNNNNNNNNNNNNNNNNNNNNNNNNNNNNNNNNNNNNNNNNNNNNNNNNNNNNNNNAUCAACAGAGUAAUCAUCAUCCAAGAAUAAAAGAAUUUCAGAAAGAUAACAAAAUACGACUUAUUAGUCAACUUCCAACAUCUAUACUAGUCUAACAAGCCUCUAAGAAAAUCAAUAAAACCAGCAAGACAUUGAGACAUGCCCCAACUGACUCAUACUCAGUUAUCAAAAGUAAAUAAUUUCAUGAAACCAACAUCAGACAUCACGUCCUCGAAACAUGAGGACUCACCACAACAGAGGAUGUAGUACAGCAUGCCCGAAGAAUCACUAUCGAACCUGGAACUGAGCACUUGAACCUACAUUUUGAGAAAAUGCAGCCCACAUCCAAAUAUGUGGGUCAGUACCAUGGAAAGGAACUGAGUAUAUGGGGGCGUAUGUAGUUGUAUAAACAUCAUCAUCAUAAAUAUUUAUAAAAAAUAUGCAGGAUGUAUGAAAGACUUACAUAGCUCGAAGAAAAUCAUCAUAAUCAUGAGAGGAUGAAAUAAGUACAAUAACACAUGUGAGUCAUCAUAUAAUUUGUCAAUCACUUUCAGUUCAUCAAGAAUAUCAAUUCUNNNNNNNNNNNNNNNNNNNNNNNNNNNNNNNNNNNNNNNNNNNNNNNNNNNNNNNNNNNNNNNNNNNNNNNNNNNNNNNNNNNNNNNNNNNNNNNNNNNNNNNNNNNNNNNNNNNNNNNNNNNNNNNNNNNNNNNNNNNNNNNNNNNNNNNNNNNNNNNNNNNNNNNNNNNNNNNNNNNNNNNNNNNNNNNNNNNNNNNNNNNNNNNNNNNNNNNNNNNNNNNNNNNNNNNNNNNNNNNNNNNNNNNNNNNNNNNNNNNNNNNNNNNNNNNNNNNNNNNNNNNNNNNNNNNNNNNNNNNNNNNNNNNNNNNNNNNNNNNNNNNNNNNNNNNNNNNNNNNNNNNNNNNNNNNNNNNNNNNNNNNNNNNNNNNNNNNNNNNNNNNNNNNNNNNNNNNNNNNNNNNNNNNNNNNNNNNNNNNNNNNNNNNNNNNNNNNNNNNNNNNNNNNNNNNNNNNNNNNNNNNNNNNNNNNNNNNNNNNNNNNNNNNNNNNNNNNNNNNNNNNNNNNNNNNNNNNNNNNNNNNNNNNNNNNNNNNNNNNNNNNNNNNNNNNNNNNNNNNNNNNNNNNNNNNNNNNNNNNNNNNNNNNNNNNNNNNNNNNNNNNNNNNNNNNNNNNNNNNNNNNNNNNNNNNNNNNNNNNNNNNNNNNNNNNNNNNNNNNNNNNNNNNNNNNNNNNNNNNNNNNNNNNNNNNNNNNNNNNNNNNNNNNNNNNNNNNNNNNNNNNNNNNNNNNNNNNNNNNNNNNNNNNNNNNNNNNNNNNNNNNNNNNNNNNNNNNNNNNNNNNNNNNNNNNNNNNNNNNNNNNNNNNNNNNNNNNNNNNNNAACACAAUUUCCAAAGGGGAUUCACGACCCAAAUAUCAAAAUCAUGAUAAAUAUCGUUCAAGAUUCAUGUUUUAUAUCACCACACAUGCAAAUUCAUCUUUCAAAAUCAUAAACAUCAAGAUUUCAUAAUAAUCAUCAUAAGAUAUGGGUUCAUGAUUCAAAUUCAGAAAAAUCAAAUAAAAACCAUGCCUUUGUAAAUAAAAUUACUUUUGGGCACACGAAUGAAAGAGAGUUCUUGUUGAAAAAUCCCACAUACCUUGAAUGAUGAACUUUAGAUCGAUACUCAUUUUUGAGAUGUUAAUCGUGCCUUGAAUGAUGGUUCUUGGAGUUCUUGAACUAGGAACUUGGAAUCUUGAAUAAAUUUACAGAAUUAAUGGUGAACUUUGGAGGUUCUUGAAGUUGGAUGUAGGAGCUUAGGGUUUUUUUUUUGAAGGAGUUUGAUGAAAUAAAACAUAUAAUGCUUCUAAUAGGCUUUAAUAUAGGGUUUGGACGAAUUUUGGGUGAGGGGGAAUGACCAAAACACCCCUAAAAAUCAAAAAAAUUCUCGAAUCUGUCCUUUGGUGGACUGUUUUGAUAGUCUGAAGUAGAUCAACUAUAACGUUUUACUCUGAUAUUCAAAUUGGAUGAAACCAAUUUCAUUAGAAAAAGGACUCUCAUAUAUUUUCAUUGAUAUAUAGUAUCUCACCCAGAUCAUUGUGUACGAGGAGUAAUGAUCGUUUGAAGUUGACCCAAAAAUUCACUUUUGAUAGGCUAAAGUAUAUCGACCAUAACUUUUUGCUUCGAUAGACAAAUUAGAUGAAACCAAUUUCAUUGGAAAGAGGACUUGAAGAGAUUUCCGUUGAUAUAUAGUAGAUCACCCAAAUCAUUAUGUACAAGGAGUUAUGAUUGUUUAAAAUUGGAGAAAAAAUACGCCAUGCAUCAGUACUUUUUCCUGCACGUUUUACUGUUUACUACUAUUCACGGUUCGAUCGAAAUGUUCAUAACUCGUCACUCGGGUGUCCGUUUUGGAUGAUCCACAUAUCUUUGGAAAGCUUAUUUGAUACUAUACGUAAUGGUGGGUCAUAAUCUAAGAUAUUUUACACAAAAAAAUUAUAAUUCAUUAUAGAAGAUAGAACUCAACAUGUUUACGCACAAAAUUUUAACGAAAAAAUUUCUCAGGGUAUUACACCAACUAACGUAACUUAUGCAACAGAUGUGUAUUAUGUUGCAACACAAUACCCAGCUGUUGCAACAGAUUAGACAUCUAUUGCAUAGCUUCUUCUUCAUGGAGUAGAUUGGAAGGCUAGGUUAGCAAAAGUAAACUUACAUUGUCCACGUACCACUCACGCAUAUUUGUCAUACUCAUGAAGUCUCUAGCGUCAAAUAAUUACAUGGUGUAUUCUUGUGGAGUUUUCAUCUUGUCAGUCAUGAUUUUCCCAAGUUUCUCUUUCUCCUCAUCGCCAAGUGUUGCGUAUAUGUCCACCUUCUUCAGUGGCCCCUAAACUUCAACAACUCUUGGUGUAUGAGGAGUUGUAAUUUUUUGUAUUUCCAGAAUGGAGAGUAUUUUUCUAAUGUUUCUUCUCUUUCUCCUAAUCGCCAUUGCAGGAGUGUAUGGCUCUCUUACCUUCUUAGAUUUUAUGACACCCUUUUCGGAUUUCAACUCCUUGACAGCUUCAGCAAUAGCCUCUAAUUUUUCAAGGAGUUUAUCCUCUCUAUCCUACAUACUUUGCAUUUACAAUGAGAAUAUAAGGGUGAAGAGGGGUGAGAAGAACCACUAUAAGGGUGGGAGGGUCCAGUGUAGGGGUGAGAGCGACCUGUGCAAGGGGCAUUUUCAAAUGUAUUUAUUUUUUCCUGAGUACUAACAUGCUCAUAAUCAUGACUGCAGUAGCAGCAACAUCAGAAUGGCUACCACUAUCAUCAAAAACUCCACUAGAAACACCCUCAGAAGAAGCAUCUAGAUCUAUUGUAGUGGUUGGUCAUAAAGAUCUUCAACAUUAGGUUGACCUUGCCUAACUGCUCUUCUUAUGGUUGUUGCUCCAGCCAAUUCCUUCUUUAUUAACUCCACCGUUGGGUCUGCUUUUAUAUCAACACGACCUAGAGUAAUAAAAAAAGUCAUCCAUAACUCAUGCUCAGUAGGCACGAUCCAAGGAUGCACAACCUAUAAAAAGAAGACAGGAGACAUUUAAAUCAUAUAAUAAUAAUUUACAGUUAGUUGGGUUACAUGUUAACACAGCCAACUUAUGCAACAGACGAUCUAGCUUCAGCAAUAGCUGAUUUGUUUGUCAUGACAGAUUGACAAUAUAUUAUAUCAGAUUACCCAUUUGUUGCAUAAUUUGUAGUAGAUGGGUAAUCUGUUGAGUCGGGUUCAGAGAACCAGAUCAAUAGAUGGUUAAUACAUUGUAAAGCAUGGAUCGUCUAUCAUAAUAGAUUACCUAUCUGUUGCACCAAUUGCAAUUGAUAGGUAAUUUGUUAUAACAGAUGACUCAUCUGUUGCAACAGAUGGCAUAUCUAUUUCGAUAUCUUUCUUUAAGGUAAAUUAUUUUAGUUGAAAGAAGACGUACUGCAUCAUCCAGAGGGUUAAAGAGAUCAGCCUCCUUAAUAUUUUUUUUGCUGCUCUUUGCAGUCAACCACCUAAGGAUCCUUGGAUGAGAAACCUCAUCCGGGUAAUCCUUGAAUUGCUUUCAGAGGGGAGGAAUGGCUUCACAUGCCCAAGCCUAAAAAAUGUAAACAAGAAACAAGAAAAAAAAGUCAUAAUAACUAUAUUCAAUAUAAAUUAAUGGAUGAGUAAAAAUAGUGAUCAAUUUUACCAUGAAAGCCAUAUAAUGUGAUUGUCUUUGAUGAUAGCUUUGUCAGUAAAUAUUCGACAGUCAAGUAGUAGUUGGCAUAUCCCCAGGGAUAAUCAUUGAAUUUCUCAAAAUCAUCAACAAGCUGUAACACCCAAUAUUUCCCUAGCAUAAUCUAAGUCCUAGUGCAUGAGUAUUCGUAUAUAAAAUUUCUAAAACACUUAUUAUUUUUUAGUUUAGAGCCAGUCAUUGUGUAGAAAAUUCAAUUAACUUUCCAACAAUAUAACAUUUGCCCAAAUUCAAUAAUCGGGUGAGCAGUUAUGGCAAUUUUAACUUUUAGUCAUUAAACACCGUCAUUUUAACCCUCAAUGCAUUGCGUAGGCAUCCCAAAUGACAAUUGUUAAUUUCCAGUGUAACUCCAAAAUCAUAGUGCAUCGCAGAGUAGGCCAAAUUCCUAUUUGUCAAUUUCCAGUGGGUUUCCGCGAUGUUGGUGCAUCGCGGAGGUGGCCAAAAUGGCAUCCAAAGCUUUACCGCGAUGGCACACACGCAUCACGAUAUUUUUCCAGGUCCCAUUUUUUCAUUUUCUAGUGGCUUGGCACGAUAGUGGCACGUCGCGUCAAGGCCAAGAAUUGGAAUAGUCAGUUUUCAACUUUCAUUUUUAAAUUUGUUUAAGGGUAUUUGGGUCUUUUUCCAUAGCCUUAAUUAACCUAAAACACUAAAUUUAACCCCUAAACACCCUAAGUAGUCAUCAUUAUUUCAAUUCCUCUAACAAUCAAAAAUCCCUCUUUCAAGAACAAGAAAUCCUAGCUCUCAAAUUCAAGGCAAUUUCUCAAGAACUCUCCAUCAAUCCUCCCAAAUUCAUUAUCCCAGGUAUGUUAGAUGUUCAUCCAUGGAUUCCUUUCAUCCAUGGAGCUUAAUUAACCUUUUUAAUUAUAAAGUUAUGAUCUUUUUAAGUUAUUUAAUUUUAAAUCAUGAUUUCGUCCAUUAAUCUCCAUGAACUUUGAUUUAAUACCAUGUUUUAAUAAAGUUAUUAUUGUUAUUCGAUUCCUCAUGUUUUAGUGUUAUCAUUUGUUGAAUUAAAUCAUGACUUAGUGUUUUCCAUGAUAAUUUCAUGGCAAUUAAGCCAGUUUUUUAGUAAUUUUAUGAUUAUUUUAAACCACGAACUAUAAGUGUUUGAUAAAAUGCCUACAAGAGCAAUUGUUUUAAUAAGAGUCUUCAUGCUAUGUCCUUCAAUGUUUCAAUGUCAUGCUACUACUAUUGUUUUGAGUCCUGGGGGUAUUGAAUACCCAAAACCAUAGAUUUUCAGUUAAUGUUGUCUCGGUAUCUUCAGAAUAACUUCAAAUUAUAUCAUGAUCAUUAUCAGAACAGUCAGUUAAAUUUAGAAUAGUCUAGUAUUUUAGUGUCAUUCAGUUGGGAGUAGGAUUUAGCACCGAGCGAGUGUAGGGAUAGCGGCUUCCUCGUCAAAUAGGUAGAGUCAUUAGUAGCAAUCCUUAUACUCCAGAACUAUGUAGCCAGCGUAGGAUAUGAGUAGUCACCAUCAGAUUAGGCUUGACUAUCUCCCAGGGGUCACCUGUCAGUUCAGGCUUGACACCCGUAGUACUUUGGACAUGAUAUCAGUUUAGUGGAUCCACAUAGCCAGCGUUAGUACCCGUGGCAUGAUAUUAACACCCUUCCAACUAGGGUUACAGGUUGGACCCCGAUUAGCUCAAAUUAGAGAAUAUCGGUUAGAUAAUACCUCCCACAGUUUUUGAUAUAGUCUCAGUUACAGUCUCAGCUUAGUUAUUUAGUCUUAGUGUUGUUUGACCAAAGCAUACAGAUUUAAGUUUUUAUUAAUAUUUUAGUUUGCAGAUUUCAUUCAAUUCAUGUCAUAUGCUUGGACAUACAUCCUCAGUGUCUACAAAUUUUUACAUAUUUUUAGUAUUUUGCAAACUUCCAUGCAUGUUCAGUAUCUACAGAUUUCAUGUUCUCUAUUUAGUAUUCUAUGCUUUAUAUGAAUAUUCAGAUAGAUCAUUACUUCUAUUCAUGAAACCUUGCAUGUUGGCCUACCUCAUUUAGGAUACCAGUACAUUUAAAGUACUAAUUGCAUACCUUUCUUUUGCGUUAUGAUAUCUCAUAUCAUAGGUGUUGAAGCUCAGUUCUUGGAUCGCACUUAGUCUCUCAAAUUCUCAACAGUACAGUAGCAGUAGUGAGUCUUCAUCACUCGAGGAUAGGCUAUCUUAUUUCAUAGCUUUAUUUCAGCAGUCAGUAGAGUUAGUUUGGGCCUGUCCCAUCAACUCUCAGUCAGUCAGUCUUAAAGGCUUUUCAGAUAUUACAGUCAGUUAAUUGGUCAUUUUAUCAAUACUUUAUCAGAUUUAGACAGUCAUUUUCCUAGAUUUAUAUUUCAGUUUGAAUUUAGAUAUUUAAAAUCUUAUGGAACUUCAAUUAUUCUUCCGCAAUUCAUGAUUAUAUUAUCUAAUGCUCACAGUAGGUAUGAGCUCAUGGGUUUUCUUGUGGUCUCUCAGGACUGUAAGCAUCGUGUAAUGACUAGGAAGUAGUCUCGGGUUAUUACAAACUUGGUAUCAGAGCCUAAGGUUUUAAAGUGUCCUAGAAAGUCUAAAAACCGCGUCGAGUAGAGUCUUGUGUAUGGGUGUGAGCACACCACACUUAUGGAUGAGAGGCUACAAGGCAUUUAGGAGAAGUUUCCCUUCUUUCAAGUAUUUAUGUCGUGGGAUUGAGCAUGAGCUCGAGUUAAACUCUCAAUCUUAUCCGUUUCUUCCUUUUGUUUACAAAAUAUGCCUCUUAAGAAGAAUGAAAGAAGAAUAGGAACUCAGCCAGCCCAUCCAGGCAGAUCCUCUAGAUAAGUAUGUCUUUCAUGUAGAAUUCAGGGCUAUAUUCACUACUCUAGCAAACUCUGUGCAGCAUAAAAUGAACGGCCAGCCACUUUUUUAGAAAACUCAGUGGCCAAUACAGCUACAACUAAAAUUCAGGAUUUCACCCAGAUAAAUCCUCCUUCUUUCAUAGGAUCCAAGUCUGAAGAGGAUCCAUAAGAAUUCUUAGAUAUGGUUCAGAAGGUAACGGAUGCUAUGGGGGUGACGUCUAGUCAGAGUGCCGAGUUGGCUACAUAUCAAUCUUAGGAUGUAGCCCUUACUUGGUUUAAGAAGUGGAAAUUUAAUACAGGUGUUACUGCAGGGCCUAUAGAAUGGGAAGUGUUUGCCACAGCUUUCUUGGACAGAUUUUUUCAUUAGAGCUGAGAGAGGCCAAAGUAUUAGAGUUCAUUAAUUUGAGUCAAGGCAGCAGAAGUGUGAGGGAAUAUUCUCUCAAGUUUACUCAGUUAGCUAGAUAUACUCCUCAUGUGGUAGAUAAAAAUAGGUACAAGAUGAGUAAGUUUAUGUCUGGCAUGUCUGAUAGUAUGGUCAGGGAGUGUAGGACCGCAAUGUUGAUUAGUAAGAUGGAUUUUUCUAGGCUGAUGGUUCAUGAUCAAUAGAUAAAGGAACAGAAAAUUAAAGAGAGGGAGAUAGGAAAUAAGAAAGCUAUGAUGGGUAGGUUUAAUUUUAAUCAGCCAAAGUCAGAAGGUGGUAAUCAUCCUCAGUUUCAUCAGAGGUCUUCAUCCCCAGUACCUUCUUCAGCCAGUGCCCUAGUACCCAAAUUCAGAAAUAACAAUAGGGAUAGGGCACCAGGCCCUAACUCCCAGGUCAGAGUUAGUAGUGUUCGUACCAAUCCUUUAUGUUAGAAAUAUGGUGGACCCCAUUAAGGUCAGUGUAGAGUGGUUAGUGAUAUGUGUUUCGGGUGUGGAAAUCCAGGCAAUUGAAUUUGAAAGUGUCGGGUAGUUGCUCAGAAGGGUAGGGAUGUAUGCCAACAGGGCCAGUCCCAUCAGUCGUCAGUUCCAUCCGAUCGCUUGACUCAGCAGGGUGCCGCUUUCAGUGCUACCAGUAUUCAACGUCCGAAUAGAUUAUAUACUCUUCAGUCCUACCAAGAUCAAGAAAAUUCUCUUGACAUAGUUAUUGGUACGUUGCAAGUAUUUCACUUACAUGUUUAUGCUUUACUUGACCUUGGAGCUUCUAUUUCUUUUGUAACUCCAUAUAUAGCUGUCAAUUUUAGAGUCAAACCCAAAACUCUAGCAGAGCCCCUUUUCAGUGUCUACCCCAGUAGGUGUUUCCAUUGUAGCCAGGCAGGUAUACAAGAACUGUCUAGUCACAAUAGCUCAAAAAGUUACUUCAGUUGAUCUUGUGAAGUUACAGAUGACAUAUUUUAACGUCAUUCUCGGCAUGGAUUGGCUCCACUCAUGCUAUGCCUCAAUUGAUUAUAGAAAUAGAAUAGUUCAUUUUUUAUUUCCAAAUGAACCAGUCCUUGAAUGGAGGGGUAGUGCUACAGCUCUUAGGGGUCAGUAGAUUUCGUACCUUAGAGCCAGAAAAAUAAUAUCAAAGAGGUGUAUUUAUCAUCUCGUGCGAGUCAAAAACUCUAACUCGGAAACUCCUACUCUUGAGUCAGUCCCAAUAGUAAAAGAAUUCUCAGUUAUGUUUCCAAAGAUCUUCUCAGAGUUCCUCCCGAAAGGAAAAUAGACUUCGGAAUAGAUCUUGUCCCAGAUACUCAGCGUAUAUCUAUUCCACCAUAUAGAAUGGCUCCAGCUGAACUCAAAGAACUGAAACAACAGUUAAAGGAUCACCUAGAGAAAGGAUUCAUCAGAUAUAACAUCUCCCCGUAGAGCAUAAUUUUUCUAUUUGUGCAUAAGAAAGACGAUUCUCAUAGAAUGUUCAUAGAUUAUCGUCAGUUGAACAAGGUCACAAUUAAGAAUAAAUAUCCACUUUCUAGAAUCGACGAUUUGUUCGACCAACUUCAGGGUGCCCGUUACUUUUCUAAGAUAGACCUCAGAUCAGGCUAUCAUAAGCUUAGAGUCAAAGAAUGUGAUAUUCCAAAAAUAGCUUUCGAAACUUGGUAUGGUCACUUUAAAUUUCUAGUCAUGUCUUUUGGUCUUAUGAAUGCCCCAGAAGCCUUCAUGGACUUGAUGAAUCGAGUGUUAAAGAAGUACUUGGACAUGUUCAUUAUAGUCUUCAUUGAUGACAUUCUUAUCUAUUCUCAUAGAAAAAGAGAUCAUACAGACUAUCUCAGCAUAGUGCUUCAGACUCUUGAGCCCAUCAGUUGUUCGCUAAAUUUAGUAAGUGUGAAUUCUGGCUAAGAUCAUUAGCAUUCCUUGUUCAUAUUAUUUUCAGUGAUGGCAUUAGAGUUGACCCUCAAAAGACUGAAGCGGUGAGAAACUGGCCUAGACCCAUCUCUCCAUCAGAUAUCAGGAGUUUCUUGGGUAUAGAUGGCUAUUACCAUUGGUUUGUUGAGGGGUUUUCUUCUAUUAUAUCCCCCAUGUCCAGAUUGACUUAGAAUAAAGUUAAGUUUCUGUGGUUAGAUUCAUGCUAGAAGAGUUUUCAGGAGUUGAAGACUCGACUCACCUCAGCCCAGUCUUAACUCUACCAGACGGUUCAGAUGGUUUUGUUGUGUACUGUGAUGCAUCCAGAGUAGGUUUGGGUUGUGUCCUCAUGCAGAGAGGUAAGGUCAUAGCCUAUGCCUCCAGACAGCUUAAGCCUCAUAAAAAGAAUUAUCUGACUCAUAAUCUUGAGCUAGUAGUUGUAGUGUUUGCCUUAAAGAUUUGGACGCAUUACUUAUAUGAGGUAUAUGUACAUAUGUUCACAGAUCGUAAAAGCCUUCAGUAUAUGUUCUCUCAGAAAUAUUUGAAUUUGCAUCAGAGAAGACGGUUAGAGUUAUAUGAAGGAUUAUGACAUGAGCGUUCUGUAUCAUCCGGGCAAGGCCGAUGUAGUGGCUGAUGCUCUCAGUAAAAUGUAUAUGGGUAGUGUAGCUCAUGUUAAGGAUGGUAAGAAGAAGUUAUCUCAGGAAGUUCAUCAGCUUGCCCAACUCGGUAUCUGUUUACUCGAUUCAGCAGAAGGUAGUGUAUGGGUGCAAAGUAGCUCAGAGUCAUCUCUAGUCUCUGAGGUAAAGAAAAAGUAGGAUAGAGAUCCUAGUCUAGUUAAGUUGAAAGAUUCAGUCAGAGGUCAUAAAGUAGAGGUUUUCAACUAAGGGUGAGAUGGUGUUUUGCGUUGUCAGGGUAAAUUAUGUGUGCCUAGUGUAGAUGAGUUACAGUAAUGAAUUCUUGUAGAAGUGCAUAGUGCGAGGUACUCUAUUCAUCCAGGGGCCACAAAGAUGUACUGUGAUUUAUGGGAGAUCUAUUAGUGGAGUGGGAUGAAGAAAGAUAUUGCAGAGUUUGUAGCUAAGUACUCUACAUGCCAGAAAGUUAAGGUUAAGCACCAAACUCUUGAGGAUAUGCUGAGAGCAUGCGUUGUUGAUUUUAAAAGUAGUUGGGAUGACCAUUUUCCUUUGAUUGAAUUUGCAUACAAUAAUAGCCAUCAUUCCAGUAUCCGUAUGGCUCCAUUUGAGGCUUUCUAUGGUAGGAGAUAUAGAUCUCCAAUUGGUUGGUUUAAAGUAGGUGAGGCUGCAGUAGUAGGGCCUGACUUGGUGUUUGAUGUGUUAGAAAAGGUUUAGUUGAUCAGAGAAAGACUUAAGGCUGCCCAGAGCCGAUAGAAAUUGUAUGCAAAUGUGAGAAAAAAAGAUCUCGAGUUUGAGGUUGGUAAUCUUGUUUUCUUGAAAAUCUAUCCCAUAAAGGGAGUGAGGAGAUUCGACAGAAAGGGAAACUCAGUCACCGAUAUGUCGGUCCCUUCAGAAUUAUCAGUCAUUUCAAAAAGGUAACUUACGAGCUUGAGUUGCCUUCAGAUUUAGCCUCGGUACACCCAAUGUUCCAUGUCUAAUUUUUGAAAAAGUGUAUUGGUGAUCUAGCUGUAGUUGUUAUCUUAGAAAGUGUAGAUAUUCAAAACAGUCUUUCCUUUGAGGAAGUUCCAAUCGAAAUUAUUGAUCAUAAAGUUCGUAGACUAAGGAAAAAAAAAGUUCCACUAGUCAAAGUUCUUUGGCGAAAUCAUUUUGUUGAGGGACCAAGUACCCGCAUCUCUUCUCCGCGAAUCCAAAUUUAGUAUAAGGUACCAAAUAUUCUAAAGAUUUUUCUCUAUCAUACUCAGUUUCAGUUACACAUCAUGUUCAUGCCAGUCUUGCAUUCGUGAAUCAAUUCAAUCAUGCAUUUCAUGCAUCAGAUAUGCAUAUUUAGUGUGUAAGCUCAGUCCAGUAGUUUUCCUUAGCUUAACUAGUUUCAUUCGGGGAUGAAUGAUCCCAAGGGGGAGAUAUUGUAACACCCCAUAUUUCCCUAGCAUAAUCUAAGUCCCAGUGUAUGAAUAUUUGUAUAUAAAAUUUCUGAAAUGCUCAUUAUUUUUCAAUUUAGAGCCUGCCAUUGCGUAGAAAAUUCAAUUAGCUUUCCAAUGAUAUAAAAUUCGCCCAAAUUCGAUAACCAGGUGAGAAGUUAUGACGAUUUUAAGUUUCAGUUCUUAAACACCAUCAUUUUAACCCUCAGCGCAUCGCGUAGGCAUCCCAAAUGAUAAUUGUCAAUUUCCAGUGUGACUCCAUGAUCAUGGCGCAUCACGGAGCAUGCCAAAUUCCUGUUUGUCAAUUUCCAGUGGGUUUCCGCAAUGUUGGCGUAUCGCAGAGGUGGCCAAAAUGGAAUAUAAAGCUUUACCACGAUGGCAACGCAUCGCAAUGUUUGUACAUGUCCCAGUUGUCCAUUUUUCAGUUUCUUGGCGCGAUAGUGGCGCGUCGCACCAAGGCUAAAAAUUGAGAUGGUCAGUUUUCAGCUUCCGUUUUUAAAUUUCUUUAAGGGUAUUUGGGUCUUUUUCUAUGGCCUUAAUUAACCAAAAACACAAAAUUUAACCCCUAAACACCCUAAGUAGUCAUCAUUAUUUCAAUUCCUCUCACAAUCAAAAAUUUUUCUUUCAAGAACAAGAAAUCCUAGCUCUCAAAUUCAAGGCAAUUCCUCAAGAACUCUCCAUCAAUCCUCCCAAAUUCAUUAUCCCAGGUAUGUUAGAUGUUCAUCCAUGGAUUCCUUUCAUCCAUGGAGCUCAAGUAACCUUUUUAAUUAUAAAGUUGUGAUCGUUUUAAGUUAUUUAAUUUUAAAUCAUGAUUUCAUCCAUUAAUCUCCAUGAACUUUGAUUAAUACCAUGUUUUAAUGAAGUUAUUGUUGUUAUUCGAUUCCUCAUGUUUUAGUGUUAUCAUUUGUUGAAUUAAAUCAUGACUUAGUGUUUUCCAUGAUAAUUUCAUGGCAAUUAUGCCGGUUCAUUAGUAAUUCUAUUAUUAUUUAAAACCAUGAACUAUAAAUGUUUGAUAAAAUGCCUAUAAGAGCAAUUGUUUUAAUGAGUCUUCAUGCUAUGCCCUUCAAUGUUUUAAUGUCAUGAUACUACUAUUGUUUUGAGUCCUGGGGGUAAUGAAUACCCAAAACCAUAGUUGUUUACUUAAUGUUGUCUCAGUAUCUUCAGAAUAACUUCAAAUUAUAUCAUGAGCAUUAUCAGAACAGUCAGUUAAAUUCAGAAUAGUCUAGAGUUUCAGUGUCAUUCAGUUGGGAGUAGGAUUUAGCACCGAGCGAGUGUAGGGAUGGCAGAUUUCCCAUCAGAUAGGCAGAGUCGUUAGUAGCAGUCCUUAUACUCCAGAACUACGUAGCCUAUGUAGGAUAUGAGGAGUCACCCAUCAGAUUAGGCUUGACUAUCUCCCAGGGGUCACUCAUCAGUUCAAGCUUGACACCCUUAGUCCUUUGGACAUGAUAUCAGUUUAGUGGAUCCACACAGCCAGCAAAGUACCCGUGGCAUAGUGUUAACACCCUUCCACCUGGGGUUACAGGUUGGACCCCGAUUAGCUCAAAUUAGGGAAUGUCAGUUAGAUGAUACUUCCCACAGUCUCAGAUAUAGUCUUAGUUACAGUCCCAACUUAGUUAUUUAGUCUUAGUGUUUUUUUACCAAAGCAUACAGAUUUUAGUUAUUUUCAGUAUUUCAGUUUGCAGAUUUCAUCCAGUUCAUAUCAUAUGCUUGGUCAUGCAUCCCAGUGUCUACAGAUUUUCACAUAUUUUCAAUAUUUUACAGACUUCAAUGCAUGUUCAGUAUCUACAGAUUUCAUAUUCUCUAUUCAGUAUUCCAUGUUUUACAUGUAUAGUCAGAUAGAUCAUUACUCAUAUUCAUUAAACCUUUCAUGUUAUCCUACCUCAUUUAGCAUACCAGUAUAUGAUAUCUCAUAUCAUAGUUGCUGACGCUCAGUUCUCGAAUCAGACUUAGUCCCUCAGAUUCUCAGUAGUACAGUGCAGUGGUGAGUCCUUAUUAUCUGAGGAUAGGCUAUCUUAUUUCAUAUCUUUAUUUCAAUAAUCAGUAGAGUUAGUUGGGGCCUGUCCCAUCAACUCUCAGUCAGUCAGUCUUAGAGGCUUUUUAGAUAUUACAGUCAGUUAGUUGAUCAGUUUAUCAGUACUUUAUUAGAUUUAAACAGUCGUUUUUCUAGAUUUAUAUUUUAGUUUGAAUUCAGAUAUUUAAAACCUUAUCGCACUUCAGUUAUUCUUCCACAAUUCAUGAUUAUAUUAUCUAGUGCUCACAGCAGAUACCAGCUUAUAGGUUAGCUUGUGGUCCCUCGGGACUGUAAGCAUCGUGUAACAACUAGGGGGUUGUCUCGAAUCAUUACACAAGCUCCAACAAAUCAUCUUCUAUGACUUUCCUGAUGUCUCUUGCUAAUAAAAUGGAAUGGACAAACCAAACUAAGUAUAAUUUCUCCCAGUAGUGCUUUGGCAUAUUUUUAUCCUCGAGAUCUACCAUCAAAUCAUUCGUUUUGUAACUAUGUCCAACAAUGCCCAACAACCUAUCUUUUUUUCCUUGCGUUUGUUGGACCCUUUGUGGGGUGUUUUCUUGAUGAGAAGUUCUUCUGGACGGUCGUAUCUCAAGCCCAUCACUAUGGGAAACUCUUUCAAUCCAAAACAAACCGGCAUGCCACGGUAAUUGAUCCAGAUUUUAUCCAUCUUUUUCUUUCCCUCCUUCAAAUGUUUAUCAUCCCCCGCAUACUUGAUCCUGCGCUUGAGAAAACUAUAUACCAUGCUCAUUAGGAAACGGAGAGUGCGGUCCACAUGCAGCUUAAGAAAGUAUGCAAAGUAGCACUUGUUAAAAAGUCCGUUUAUUUUUUUAUUCUUCAUAAUACUCCUAAGUUCAUCAAAACAUUUCCCCAGCUGACAUUUAAGUACAGGAUCACCAGUUACUUUGUUAGAGCAAUCUAUCAGCAUCGCAACUCGAAACAUGUCGAUACUAAUGGUUUUGAUAGGAUAAUACUGGGAUUUUGAUAUUAAUUCACACCCCAUUGGUGAGAAGGAAUUAUCACUUUCCUCAGCUUCAUUUUGCCCUGACUGAGAUUGUUCAGGAAGUUCCUCUGAAUCUAUUUGUACUCUAGCCUUUUUUGUUGGGUGGUCAGAAGUUGAUCCACUUUCAGUUUCUUUUCUUUUGGGAGACAUCUUUUAACUAAAAAUAAUAAAAAACAAAAAAUACAUUGCAUUUGAUGUCUGUGUAAUUUUUUAAAAAAAGGUAAGACAAAUUUUAAUAAAUUAUUCUACGCCACAUUACAAAAAAAUACUGUAACGGAUAACCCAUCAGUUGGAACAGAUGGGGAAUCUAUUUGAAGACCUAUUUAAUAUCUCCCAACAGAUCUUCCACCUAUUGCAACAGAUGGACCACCAAUACCAAGAACAAGACCACCGAUACCACCACCUAAAAUACAAAUACCGACACCACCAACAUCAGCCACCAACAAUACCACAAACACCAUCUAACAAUACCAUGAUAGUUAACAAAACACUGAGAUAAAAACUAGGGCUUUCUCAGGUGCUUCCUACUUUUUUAGUAUCGAAACUCAAAAUUGUUAACCUAUUCUCGAAGAUGAUACAACUAAAAGUCUUUUUUUCAUCAUUAACUAAAAAUCCCUAAUUUUUAGAAUAAAGAACAAAUGUAGAACUCUUCUCUAACUCUGUUACCUGCGAAAACAUAGAAAUAACAGAGAUAAGCGAGAAUAAAGUCAAAAAUAACAACUAUGUGGUCGGAAAUGAGAAGAAAAUUGAUCUAUUUUAAAGGCUUGAGCAAUAUAUUGAGUAGUUGUUGUCUGUAUUAUUAAGAGAGAGAGAGAGAGAGAGAGAGAGAAUAGAGAGAACAUCAUAUUUGAAAUGAGGAAAAGUUUUUCACAGAAAUAGAUGAUUUGUAUAGGUUGAUUUGUAAUUUUGGAAAAGAAUGACAAGUUUUGAAAUUGUUAAUUUGGUUCGAAUUGAUCCUAAUUAAUUUUUAAAAUUUUAAAAGAUAUAGUUUUUAAAAUAUUAAGUUAAUGAGAACUCAUUUAAACUCAGAGUGAUUGAUCAACGACUCGGGUUAGGAUGAACACAAUACCAACACCAUGCAAUUGCAAAGACUCAAUUGAAGUUAUUGUUGACCCUAUGAACUUAUUCAUCCCUAGUUCCACCUAAAUCAACUAAGGUACUAUCUUAACAUUAAGUUAAUGAGAACUUAUUUCAACUCAGAGUAGUCAAUCGUUGACUCGGGUCGGGAUAAAUGCAAUACCAAUACCAUGCAAUUAUAAAAACUCAAUUGAAGUUGUAGUUGACCCUAUGAACUCAUUCAUCCCUAGUUCCACCUAAAUCAAUUAAGGUAAUAUAUUAAUAUUAAGUUAAUGAGAACUCAUUUCAAUUCAAAGUAAUCGAUCAUCGACUCGGGUCGGGAUAAAUGCAAUACCAAUUGCAAAAACUCAAUUGAAGUUAUAGUUGACCCUAUGAGCUCAUUCAUCCCUAGCUCCAUCUAAAUCAAUUAAGGUACUAUCUUAACAUUAAGUUAAUGAGAACUCAUUUCAACUCAAAUUAAUCGAUCGAUGACUCGAGUUGAGAUGAAUGUAAUACCAACACCAUGCAAUUUCAAAGACUUAAUUGAAGUUGUAGUUGGCCCUAUGAAGUCAUUAAUCCCUAGUUCCACAUAAAUAAAUUAAGGUUCUAUCUUAAUAUUAAGGUAAUGAGAACUCAUUUCAUCUCAGAGUGAUCGAUCGAUGACUCGGGUUGGGAUAAAUGCAAUACCAACACUAUGCAAUUACAACGACUCAAUUGAAGUUGUAGUUGACCCUAUGAGCUCGUUACACAUAAAUUAAUUUAGGUACUAUCUUAACAUUAAGUUAAUGAGAACUCAUUUCAACUCAAAGUGAUAGAUCAAUGCCUCGGUUCGGGAUAAACGCAAUACCAACACUAUGUAAUUACAAAGAAUCGAUUGAAGUUGUAGUUGACCCUAUGAACUCAUUCAUCCCUAGUUCCACCUAUAUUAAUUUAGGUACUAUCUUAACAUUAAGUUAAUGAGAACUCAUUUCAUAUCAGAGUGAUCGAUCGAUUACUCGGGUCGGGAUAAACGCAAUACCAAUACUACGCAAUUGGAAAGACUUGAUUGAAGUUAUAGUUGAUCCUAUGAACUAAUUUAUCCCUAUUUCCACCUAUAUCAAUUUAGGUACUAUCUUGACAAAAAGUUAAUGAGAACUCAUUCAUCCCUAGUUCCACCUAAAUUAAUUUAGGUACUAGCUUAAUAUAAAGUUAAUGAGAAUCUUUUCAACUCAGAGUGAUCGAUCAACGACUCCGAUCGGGAUAAACGCAAUACCAACACCAUGCAAUUACAAAGACUCAAUUGAAGUUGUAGUUGACCCUGUGAACUCAUUCAUUCAUCUCUAGUUCCACCUAAAUCAAUUGUAAUAAAAUAUGUUACAUCAAACAGAUAUUCAUAUCUUUUGCAACAGAUGACAUAUCUGAUUUAAUUAUCAAAUAGAUAUUUGUAUCUGUUGUGACAGGUGACUGAGUUUUUGAAAAUUUUCAAAUAGAUAUCGAUAUCUAUUGUAAUAGAUGACAUAGAAGAUUUAAUUAUCAAAUAGAUAUUUGCAUCUGUUGUUACAGAUGACUAAGCUAUUGGAAUUUGUAAACAGGUAUUGCUAUCUGUUGCAACAGAUGACAUAUUUGUUUGAAAAUCCUUUUUUUUAAUUUUAAAGGCUUAUUUCCGAGUAGAUAAAGAAGUACAACUAAAGGUGGUAAAAAUGUUUCUUGCAUAACUCAAAAAUGAGUUCAUUGAGUAGUCUUAUCUUGUCUUUUCAAUGUCACUAGUCUUCCCCGUGUCCCUCAAAUUAUUAAUGAAUAUUAAUUAAUGAAUACUAAAAUCCACGUCUACGUACACAAUACAUCUAUAAUUAUCUCAUUUCUCCUUCAGCAUCAGCCCUAAAUUUAUUUUAUUUUUCUCCCAUCUUUUCCUUUCUCUCCUCUUUGGGGUUAUCACAACUUUUUUCUCUCUUUUCUCUUCUCUUUAUCAUAAAAAUCCUUUCAAAUCUAAACCGAUCCAUAUUUUUCCUCGACUGAAAUUGUUGUUUUGAUCCCCUUUUGAUAUUAAGGUAUGGUUCACUAUUGCUCUUUCAUUCUCAUCUUCUUCUUUGCAAGUUAUUUACAUCUAUUUUUUUAUUUAAUUAUCAUUUACCCAUAUCAUAUUUAUUUAAAAAAUUUGAAGGAACUUUUAAGUGUUAAAUAAACGAAUCGAGAAUUUUUAUUACAAUAUGCGAAAAAAGUUAUCUGUUGGGAGAAGUUUAAAAGUCUUGUUGACAGUAUCAUUUUUUGUAUGUAUUUUGUUUGUUUCUUUAUUGUUGAUGUUGUUGGUGGGUUUGGCAUUGUCGAAACUUGUGGUGUGGUGUUAUUGAUGGUGUUGGAAUAAAGAAUAUUGCUUCUUUAUUGUUGAUGAUGUUGUUGAUAGUGUUGGAACAAAUGUUGUUGUUUCUUUGUUGUUGAUGUUCUUAUUUGUUGUUUCUUUGUAGUUUAUGUUGUUGUUAAUGUUGCAACAUACGGAGAAACUAUUGGAAUAAAUCAAACCACUAGCAAGGCUAGUAUGAUGUAUUCCAAUAAACUCCACAUUUAUUGCAAUAGACUCCACAUCUAUUCAAUAGACUCCACAUCUAAUGCAACAGACUCUACAUCUGAUACAACAGAUGGAUAAUAUUCUUUUUGUGACAUCAAUUUUUUUCCUCUUCUUUGUAGAUAUAAGGACCUAAAAGUUGAUCCACUUUUGCCUGACCAACACAAGAGGCUGCAGUAAAGAUGGGUUCGGAGGAAUAAAUUGCAUACAGAUGGAACCACUUCAUAUGUGAGAGGUAUGUAUUACUGAUAAUGUUAUCAUGGAAACACACAUAAAGUACACUAAUUUUGUAAAUGUUUUUUUUACCGAUUAGUCAUUAAUCAUUCAAACAAGAUAUCUGCAAUUUUAUAGUUAAGUUUGGUAAGUCUAAACUGAUAAGGCUGAGGGACCAUGAAUAUUGUUCUGAUACCCUGUUAAUAUUUAAUGUCGAUUGUUGCUCAUGUUUAUAUGUCAAGCAUUGUGGAGGGAUCUAGUUUUGGUGGCAUUGUAAAGAGAUUUAAUAACGAUUGGACUAACUUUUAGGGUGCAUUAGACCCUAAGAGGGCCUUUGAAGCCUCCAGAUACUUCAACCAAGAACAAAAUCAAUAUAGUUAUUACCUUAGACCAAAUUUAUAUGGUUGGGUUGCUGAGGGUGAUGAUUAUACGCCAGAAGGUGCGAUGGGAGAAUGCCUUCGAGGGAAAAUGGGUGGUUGAUGAAAGACUAUAUCAUUUGAGAGCUAAUUGAAGAGGAAACAUAGGGUAGAAGUAACUUCUAGCGAAUAUGACCGAUGAAACUAUCUUAAAACAUGAGAAAUCUGUAUAAGCGCAAAUAUAAAAUUGUAUCUGCUGAUGAAAAAUCCGUCUGUUGUUUCUCUAAGAGAAAAUAGUGCAGAUGCUUAUUUUUUUAGGGAGUUGCGUCUAGGUAGCGUGGUCAGGAUUAUCACCUAGAUUCUAGAUAAUAACAGAAGACGAAGAAAGCAGCUUUAUGGGCAUCGAGGGUUGAAAUAACGUACAUUAAAUCUAGAAAACUUGCACCAACAGCAACUGUUAAAAUAAGGAAUUUAAGCAAAGGCGGCAAUUUCUGAAUUUUAAAUUGCAUCCCAUGCCUUCUUGUUUGUGGUUUCAAUUAGGUCCACUGUUGUUGACCUAAUCAAAACCACAAACAAGAUUAAAAGACAGUUUGAGUGUCAUUACUUCCUUAGCAAUAUGGUUAUAAUUGAUUGUAUUUUCUAGCCUUAGCAUGCUUUCAACAUUUCUUGGAGAAGAUCAGAGGCUUGUUGUAGUAUGUGAAUUUCGAUAAUUUUAAAGCUUGCCUCCAACUUGCUGAUUUGGUAUUCAAGCUUGUCGUUGUCGUCUUUGAAGUUGGUAUAGAGUUUCUGAUCUCUUGUGAGCUCGAUCAGGAACACUAUCUUCAAAGUUGUGGCAUUGUAGAAGCCCUUCAAAACACUUUUUUCAGAAGCUUUAAAGGAUACAUGUAGGGUCGUUAUGUAUGAUUGUAGGUCAAAAUGUGUUGAUGCACAGUCAAGAUGUGGUCCCAACCGUUGAAUAUCUUACUUUUAUCGAGCGUUGCUCAAUGCAUCUUUCAACCAACCUUCAAGGGAUUUGAUAAAUUAAUAAGAAAGGAGUUAUGUAACACUUGAUCUAAACCUAAUGUAACCUUGAUCUAAACCUACUCUACCAAGCCUAUCAAAUGUUACGUAACUCCAGGCUCAUUACUCCAUCAAAAAACUUUGCCUGAGUUAGUGGACAAAUCAAACGAGCUCAAUCUCUAAGCCUUUCUGCUGAUCGAUCUUCUCUGAUAUAGAUAACAAGAUAUCCGCCAUGUAAAAGUCUAUACCGUUAGCAAAAGGCAUUAUUAGUAAUGUACAAGGGCCACAGAAGAAAAAUUAUCAACUCCUCUGUUUCGCUCAAGUAUCCAAAAAAAAAUUUUCAACUCAUCUGUCUUGCACUGUUGAGCAAUGUACAAGCUUUUCAUACAUUUCAACUCCUCUAUACAUUACUCAACAGUACAAGACAGAGGAUUUGAAAUUUUUAUUUUUUGGAUACUUUAGCAAGACAGAGGAUUUAAAAUUUUUCUUCAAUGGCCCUUGUACAUUACUAAUAAUGCCUUCUGCUAAAGGUGUAGACUUUUGCAUGGCGGAUAUUUUGUCAUCUAUAUUGGAGAAGAGCGAUUAGCAUAAAGGCUGAGAGAUUAAGCUUGUUUAAUUUGCCUACUAACUCGAGCAAAGUUUUUGAUAGGGUAAUGAGCUUGGAGUUACGCAACGUUUGAUAGGCUUGAUAGAGUCGGGUUAGAUUAAAUGUACAUAACUCCUUGCUUAUUAAUUUAUAAAAUCCCUUGAAGGUUGGUUGAGCAAGCUGCAUUGAUCAACACUCGAUAAAAGUGAGUUAUUCAAUGGUUGGAACUAUAUCUUGAUUGUGCAUCAACAUAUUUUGACCUAAAAUAAACACAGUGAUCCUCCAUGUAUCCUUUAAGGCUUCUGAAGAAAGUAUUCUGAAGGCCUUCUUCAAUGCAACAACUUUAAAGGAGAAAGUGUUCCUGAUCGAGCUCACAAGAGAUCAGGAACUCUAUACCAACUUCAAAGAUGGCAAUGACAAGCUUGGAUACCAAAUCGGCAAGUAGGAGGCAAGCUGGAAAAUUAUCGGGAUUCACUUACUACAGCAACCCUCUGAUCUUCUCCAAAAAAUGUUGAAAGCAUGCUAAGGUAAGAAAAUACAAUCAAUUAAUUCAUAUUGCUAAGGAAGUAAUGACACUUAAUUUGUCUUUCAAUCUCAUUUGUGGUUCCGAUCAGGUCAACAGCAAUGGACCUAAUCGGAACCAUAAAAAAGAAGGCAUGGGAUGCAAUUUAAAAUUCAGAAAUUUCUGCUUUCGCUUAGAUUCCUUAUUUUAACUACAGUUAUAGUUGGCAUAAGUUUUUUAGACUUACUGUACGUCAUUUCAACCCUCGAUGAUUGUAAUGCUGCUUUCUUGGUCUUCUACUAUUUUCUAUCUAGGUAAUAAUCCCGACCACGCUACUUAGACGUAACUCCCUAGAAAAGUGUCCAUCUGUAUUAUUUUCUUCCAGAGAGACAACAGACAAAUUUACAUUAUCGGAUACACUUUCAUAUUUGUACUUGAUACAGAUUUCUCAUGUUUUAAGAUAAUUUCAUCGACCAGAUUCACUAGAAGUUCCUUGCUACCCUAUGUUUCUUCUUCAAUUAGCUUUCAGAUGAUAUAGUCUUUCAUCAACUCCCCUUUUCCUCACAGAAAUUAUCCUUCAGCUUUUUCUGGCGUAUAAUCAUCUUCUCGAACAACCCUUCCAUAAAAAUUUAGAUUAGGGGAAUUUUUAUUUAUUUUUGAUUCUUAUUUGAUAUUGUGCGAGGCUUCGAAGGCCUUCCCAGAGUCCAAUGCACACUUAAAGUUAAGUUUAAUCACUAUUGGAUCUUUGCAAUGACACCAAAUAUUGAACUCUUCUCAAAAUUUGACAUGCAUAAACAUGAGCAACCGUCAAUAAUUCGUAAUAGGGUAUCUGCACCAUCUUCAUAGGUCCCUCGGCCUUAUUAAUUUGAACCCAUCAAACUUAACUGUACAAUACAGGAUCUUGUUUGAAUGAUCAAUACCUAAUCAGUUAAAAACUGCAUUCACAAAACAUUGUACUUUAUGUUUGUUGUCUCGAUGACCUUAUCAGUAAUAGUUAACUCCUACACAUAACAGUGGGUCCAUCCAUUACACGCACCUUAUUCUUGCUAGCCCAUAUAUGGCUUAAAUUGAAUAAAAAGAUGACUAACAAGUUGCAAUAGAUGCCACAUCUAUUUAAAUUGUCAAGCAGACAUCUGAUACAACAGAUUAUCAGUCUGUUGCAACAUAUGAUAUAUCUAUUGGAAAAAUCAAACAGAUAUACCCAUCUGUUGUGAUAGAUUAUCAAUAUGUUGUAAGUUAUCUAACAGAUGGAAUAUAUUUUUCAACAGAUUACCCAUCUAUUAGAUUUAUUUUAAAGCAAUUUCUUUUCUUUUUGAAAAAUAAUAAAAGAUAAAAUGUUGUAUUUAGAUCCAUUUUUUUAAUUUACAUAUUUAAAAAAUUACCAGUUUUAUUUAAUUAAGGGAUAUGAACAGUCGUGGCUUUUUGACUAACCCCUUCCAAUUCAAUCAUUUACAAAUAUGGUUGAUCCAGAUUCGUAAAAGAAGAUUCAUAUCGAGUCCUUACAGGAAUUUUAAAGGCAGUUUGAUGAACUCCAAAGGGAUUUGACCGACUUUGGAGCAAGGCUGAGGAGGGCCCUGCUACUGCCGGAUAAAAAUUGUCUGAUUGACAAUAUAAUAGUAAUAAUAAUAAUAGUAAUGAUAAUAAUAAUAGUAGUAAUAAUAAUUAGGUUAUGUUUUUUAUUUUAGCAUAUGUAUUUUCCUCUUUUUGUAUAUCGGAUCUACCCAAGGGAUACAAAAAUCUAUGUUUGAUGGUCGACUUUGAAUUUUUAAUUCUUAUUUAGUAUUUAAUUAUUAUUUUUUUUAUUCCUUAUUCUCAACAUAUCGAUGGUUGGAGGUAGGGAUUGAGCAUUUUUGGCAACAGAGGUUAAUUUGAUGCGACAGAUCGAUCAUAUGUCGCAACAGGCAGUUAUUAAUAAGAAAGGAUUAUUGUUGUUAUUGAGAGGGUCAAAAAGAUAUGACUUUCCGAUUAUUAAAUAUGAAAAAUGGUUCGUAAAUAAAUAAUAAGGAAAUAAAUGAUAAACACAAUUUAUAAUCGUAAAAAAAUUGUUAGUUAAUUUUAAUAACUGUUCAUGACUUUUCACCAUUUUUGUUUUUGAAUUUAUUUUUUAAAAUUAUUUAUUUAUGGGAUAAUACUCACAAAAAUACAUUAACUUUGACCGAAUUUUCAGUUGAGCAUACUGAACUUUAUGGGGUUCCUAUUAUCUCCCUAGACUUUUUUUCGUAUUUUAAUAGCAUAUAUUUGUCCACUUGGACACGUGUAAAUAUGAGGUUGGCGCGUGUAUUACACCGCCAUCUGUCAAAAAAUACAUGUGUAAAAGCGAGAUUGGCGCGUUUAUUACAUCGACAGCCGCCGAAACUAGGUAUAGCAUUUCGGGGGGGGGGAUUAAAUCCACUUUAAAAAGUCUAGGGGGGUAAUAGGACCCCCGCAAAGUUCAGUAUGCUUAACUGAAAAUUCGGUCAAAGUUUAGAUAUUUUUGUGAGUAUUAUCCCUUUAUUUGUUAUAUAAUAAAAAAAGUCGUAAUAUUGGAUUAAUUAACUUAUAUGAUGAUUGUUAAGAAAAAGGUGAACAGUAGUGACUUUUUGUCUAAAAUACAUUCAACAAUGUUGUUGAUGCAUCAAAUUCCCCAUCUGUUGCGACUGAUAUAUCAACUGUUAGAAGAAAUCAAAAAAGUUAUUAAAACAAACCAUCGAUUUGUUGCAACAAAUGGUGUAUCUGUUGCAACUGAUGGUUUAUCUGAUGCAACAGAUACUGUUGCCAGAACUCAAUAAAAAUGGUUAUUAUUUUAUUAAAGAAAUGAUUAUUGAAAAACUAUUUUUUUUAAUUUAUAAAUAAAAAAGUCAGCAAAUUUGGAUUAAUGAUAUGAUGAUAAUUUUAAAAAAAAAAAAGAUAGAUGAUAUGUUGCAACAGAUAGAUUAUCUGAUGCAACAGGUUUUCUAUUUAUUGCAACAGAUGAUAUAUUUAUUGUCACGGAUGAGUUAUUUGAUGCAACAGAAAUAGAAUCUGUUCUCACAACUCAAUAAAAAUGAUUCUUGGGAAGAACUAAUCAAUAAUAAUAAUCUGAAAAGUCAUGACUUAUCACAAUAUUUCUUAAUUUAAUUAAGUCAUAACUUUUCACAAUAAUAAAAAAAUAUAAUUAAUAAAUAGAGGUGAACAGUUAGAUUAUAUAUUGCAACAGGUUUUCUAUUUGUUGCAACGGAUGAUAUAUCUGUUGUCACAGAUAAGUUAUCUGAUGCAACAAAUAUAAAAUCUGUUGUCGCAACUCAAUAAAAAUGGUUCUUGGAAAGAACUAAUUAACAAUAAUAAUCUGAAAAGUCAUGACUUAUCACAAUAUUUCUUAAUUUAAUUAAGUCAUAACUUUUCACAGUAAUCAAAAAUGUAAUUAAUAAAUGGAGACGAACAGUUAGAUUAUAUGUUGCAACAGAUAGAUAAUCUGAUGCAACAGGUUUUCUAUUUGUUGCAAUAGAUGAUGUAUCUGUUGUCACAGAUGAGUUAUCUGAUGUAACAGAUAUAGAAUCUGUUGUCACAACUCAACAAAAACGGUUAUUGAAAAGAACUAAUUAAUAAUAAUAAUCUAAAAAGUCAUGACUUAUCACAAUAUUUCUUAAUUUAAUUAAGUCACAACUUUUCACAGUAAUCAAAAAUGUAAUUAAUAAAUGGAGGUGAACAGUCGCACCUUUUUGCCACUCAUUCAAAUUUAAUCUUCUAUAAAUAGGUCCCUCCUUACUAAACGUUCAUUCAACUACACUCUAUUUAUUUAUUGCAUCUUGUCUUUCAUAUUACACCUUCCACCACUUUCUCUUUCCUGACUCAGAUAAGUUUUUUUCUUACCAAUUUGUAGUAUAUGUUGUAUUACAUUCGGAUAUUCUUUUCUUUACUUUUGGUUUUACGUUUUUUGUUAAUUCAUAUGUGUUUUAGCUAUGGCUGAUCCAAUGUGGGACGUUGCUUUUCUGCAAGACAUCGUGAAUGAACUUCGGAUGCAAGUUUGUGACCUGCAAUGGGAACUGGGAGCAGUUAGAGCAAGGAUGCUUCAUGAGAUCCGCAGGCUAAGAAGGGUCUUGCUGCUACCGGUUGAAGAUUGGUCGGUUGGCAAUAAUAAUAAUAAUAAUAAUAAUAAUAAUAAUAAUAAUAAUAAUAAUAAUAAUUAGAUUAUUUUUUUCCUUUUAGUCUAUGUAUAUGUAUUUUUAUUUGUUUUUGUUUAAUAAAAAAAUUAUGUUUGAUCAACUUUGACGUUUUAAUUCAUAUUUAAUUUUCAUUUUGUCUAUUAUCUUCUCAACAAACAUGUGGAUGAUUGGAUAUAAGGAAUAAUUUUGAAUCCAGUAGCUAUAGCAAGAGUUGAAUGUAAACAUAUUGGUUAUUUGUUGGGUUUGUGGCAGGGGCUGAUUUGUAUUGUUCCAAAAACAGAUUACUUAUAUGUUGCAACAGAUAAGCAGUCUGAUGUAAUAGAUAAUCAGUAUGAUGCAACAGAUAACUAGUCUGUUUCAAUAGAUAACUAGUCGAUUGCACGGCUUUGACAUUUUAAUUCAUACUCCUUCUGUCUCAAAUUACCCAUCCCAAAUUGAGAUGGCACAUUGAUUAAGAAAAAUAAUUAAUAGCAUGCCUAAUUUACCAUAAUAUCCCUAUUAAAUGAUGUUUACAUUUUAAUUUGAAGAAAAAGUAAUUAAUGCAAAGGGUAAAACAUGGAAUUUUUUAUCUCUUCUUGAUUAAUGAAAAAAGACAAGUAAAAUGAGAAAUCAAAUUAGAAAAUUUGGGUCGGGUAAAUUGAGACUGAGGGAGUAUUUAAUUUUCAUUUUGUCUAUUAUCUUCUCAACAAACGUGUCGACGAUUGGACGUAAGGAAUAAUUUUGAAUCCAGUAGCAAUAGCAAGAGUUGAAACAUAUUGGUUAUCUGUUGGGUUUGUGGCAGGGGUUGAUUUGUGUUGUUCCAAACAGAUUAAUCAUCUGUUGCAACAGAUAAUCAAUCAGAUGCAACAGAUAACUAGUUUGAUGCAAUAGAUAAUCAGUCUGAUGCAACAGAUAACUAGUAUGUUACAACAGAUAAAUCUUCUGUUGCAACAGAUUACUCAGCUAAUGCACCAGAUGAGUGAUCUAUUUAAAUUAUGGGCAAUCAUAUUGGAUUUAUGAUCGGAUUCUAUCCAUUGUUGGAAAAAAUAGCAGUAACUGUGUACUCAGAUGACAAAUUCGAAUAAAAAUCAUAAUUUUAUUUACCUAAGUCACCUAUAAAGUAAUGCCAAAGUAGAAAGUGAUGUAGGAAAUAAAAUUUGACCUAAGAAAUUGGUCAGAUAGCAGCAGUAGCAGUAACAACAACAACAACAAUGAUCGACAAGAAGAAGAUGAAGAUAAUAAUGAAGUAGAAGAUGAUGAUAAUGAAGGAGAAGAUGAUGAUAAUGAAGUAGAGGAUGAUGAAUAAAGCAGCAGCAAUAAUGAACAACAAUAAUCAUGAAGAGAGAAAACAACAACAGGUGAGAAGAGAGAGAAACGUGCCUUUUUCCCUCUAUUUUCUGUUUUAUUAACUAACAUUUGGAUCAAAGUGUAAAUUAAAAAACUUGUGGGUUAUUUUAAAACUUCUCCAACUUUCUUAAUCCAUAAUAAAGUAAUUGUCACGUCCACUCAAUAAUUAAGACUUGUAUCACCUACACCGCAUUUUAAAACUAUUUUGUUACCUACAGCCCAAAUCCCCAUCUUUCCUAAAUCUCACUUUUAAAAUUAUACUUGAUAUGUUAUUAUUGUUAAAUUAUUAUAAAGACAAAUACGUAUUUACAAUGAUACUAACAUCAGAUCAAAUAAUAUAAAUUUAAUAACUAAAAUUAUAAGACAAAAUGGCCAGAGAAAAUGAUCAAAAGAACCCCCAACCUUUACCCUAAAUCCCAACUACACACCUAUACUUUGCGGGGGUCCUAUGACCCCCCUGAACUAUUUUAAAGUAGAAUAUUUACACCCCCGAAAACUGACGCCCAGACAUUGUUUUAGGCAGUGAGCUGCACUUGUUGCCACGUAAUUCCACGUAAUAUUACUUUUUAAUAUAAAAAAUUAAUUACUUUUAUUUAUUAUAUUUUUUCCUUUGUAUUCAAUUUCAUUAAUUUUUUCCAUUUAUUUCAUGUUCUUCCACAAUAAUGAUUCUCCAUUCUUUUGUUCUUCUGUUUUUUUCCUCUCUUCAUUUGAGUUUCUUCAAUCUCAAACCUUUGUUAAAUCUCAAACCUUUGUUAAAUAGUAAAUUCAAAGUUGACUAUUAAACUCAAAGUUUAGAUAAAAAAUUUGCUUCAAGAACGAAAAUUUGCACGGCUUCACAUAUUUGCUUCAGGAAUAAAAAAUUUUAUUUCUGUAUUCGUUAUGUCAGUUCAAUUGCAAACUCGUUGUUCAAUUGGAACUCAAGAACUACUAGUUUUUUCAAGAAAGAUGAUGUUGAGGAAGCACACAAAUUAUUCGACAAAAUGCCCCAAAAAGAAUGUAGGAAUCGUAUGAUUUCUGGGUAUGUAAGAAAUGGGAUGUUAGAUUAUACUCAACAAAUGUUUGAUACAAUGCCGAGCAGAAGUGUCGUUUUUCAAUCUUGUUCCUUUUUCUUUCUUUCUUUUUUUUCAUUUCUCAAGUAUAAAAAUUGAUGUUGAAUUUAUGAUUGUGAAAAAAAUUGGUGUUGAUUUUGAUUAUGGUGUUGAUUUGAUUGUUUCAAUUUCAAGAAAUGUGGAUUUGAAUGAUGAUUUAUGGUUUGAGAUUGAAAAUUCAAUCGAUGUAAAGUUACAACAUUUCAAGAUUCCACAAAAUGUGUAUAGAGCAUUGUUGCAAGUUUAUGUUUCAUUUAAUGAGAACGAUGAGUCUUGGUAUGGUAAUUCGAUUAAUGAGUAAGUAAGUUUGAAUAAUCUUAGUGUUCCGAGGAAUGGAGCUUUUAGGGAGGUGAUUGUUAGUUUGGAUGAAAUGGUAGUUGGUGUAGUUUGAUCGUUCACUGUGAUUUAUAUCGGAGGAGAUGAUAAAUUAGUUUUGGAUUGGAUGUCAUUAUUGAGUUCUUGAAGAUGUCAUUGUUGAGUUCAAGAAGAAGAAGAGAGAAAAUGAAUAAACAAGAAUAAUAAUUAAAAAUAAAUAAAGAAAAGAGUAAAGAAAUAUUAAAAAUAAAUUUUUAAUAAAAAAAAUCGUUCUCACUGUCUUUAAAUAGAGUGAAACACACUCUCUUGCCAUGUUAGCGUUCAGGGGGUAAUAAUUCCACUUUAAAAUAGUUUAGGGGUCAUAGGACCCUCCCCCCAAAGUAUAAGUGUGUAGUUGGGAUUUGAGGUAAAAGUUGGGGGGCAUUUGACCAUUUUCUCAAAUUAUAAUAAUAAGAAGAAGAAGAAGAAGAAACAUAUAUGUCCCUCCGUUUGGAUUUACUUGUCACUAUUUUUCUAAUUUAAUUUUUAUUUUUACUUGUUAUUUUUUAUAUAUCAAGAAAAAAUAAAUCUUUUUUAUGUUUUAUCCUUAGCAUUAAUUACCUAUUCUUCAGAUCAUGAUAAAAUUAUUAUAUUAAUUAUUUUUUUUUAAUGAGUGUGCUAAAUCAAAAUGUGAUAAAUAAUAUGAUAAAGUCACUAUAUUAAUUAUUUUUUAAAAUGGAUAGUUCAAAUUUAAGGGGUCGUUUGGUAGGGUGUAUUAUGAGAAAUAGUUCAUGCAUUACAUAUGGUAUUAUUUAGUACUAUCUUUGGUAAGAUUUUGGACCUAUGUAUAAUUAAUACAUAUUAGUUAUACACCCUAAUUGUCAUUAUAAGAUGUAUAAUUAAUACCUCUCAUUUGGUGGUAUUCUUAAUACAUAGGAUUUAAUAUCAUGGGAUUAAUAUAUGUAAUGACAAAAAUAUCCCUCAAAUUCUUUUAAGCAUUUUUUUUUCUGAAUUUUUUUUUAUAUUUAUACUAAUAAAUUUAUUUAAAUAAAUUAGCUUAAAAAAUUUAUUAUUUAGAAAAAGUUGUUUGUUGCUAAAUAAAAUUCAAUAUCAAUCGAUACAAUAAUUAAAAUAUGAGUUGUUUAACUUUUUUGGAGGGGAUAAUACUCACGAAAAUACCUGAACUUUAACCGAAUUUUCAGUUGAGCAUACUGAACUUUGUAGGGGUCCUAUUACCCCCUAGACUUUUUAAAAGUAGAAUUAAUUCCCCCCCAAAACGCUAUUUUCAGUUUUGGAGUAGAAAAUUCAAUACACACGCCAAUCUCGCAUUGACACGUGUAUUUUUUAUUUCAAAUUAAUUUUUAUUUAUUUUCUUCUCCAUUUAAAAUUAAUUCUUCUCCAUUUUGGUCCGCAACAGUAGUAUCUCCAUUAAGAAUUUUAAAAUUCUCCAUUCUUCUCCACUCACGAUUGUUUGUAAACUCAUAUUUUUAAUAAAUUCAUAUUUGGGUUUGUAAACAUGGUUUGUAACCCAUGUUUUUAAUACAUUUUGUCCUUGCAUUUUUUACAGAAAGCAAAGUUUAGAAUUUAUUGCCGGAAAAGCUCAAAAUUCAGGCGACUUGCAAGGUUCCGAUGAAAUCGCAAAUUCUCAACGCAAAUUAAUAGCUGGGGAUGCAGGGAAUAAUUCUAUGGCAAAAUCCCCAAUCAUUACAACUCCUACUGAUUUCAAUUUCAAAAUUCUAAUUUGGCGAAUUCAAAGGAAAUUGAUAAUUUGCCGGCUUUGAUUCAAAAUUUCCAACAAGUUUUAAUCGAAAAUGAUGUUGGAAAUGUUAGUAAGUCAAAAGCCCCUUCAGAAAAUGAUCAUAAUUCUUCCAAUUGCUAUUUUUUGAUUACUACUUCAAUUAAUUUGGUCGGAGAUGGUGCUCAGGUGAUCGUAAAUCAAAUUGGUCAAAGAAAUUCAAUUGGAAAUGAGAUGGGGAAAUUGAGGACCAACCUGUUUUCCUCUCUUGUUUUCUCUCAAUUUCUCACUGUCUCUCUUGAUUCGCUCUCCCUCUCUCGAUUCUCCUCACUUUUGAUUCUCUCUGAUAGUGUGUAUCACUGUGUGUGUAGUGUUCUCCGGUAUGUGAGUGUGUGCGUUCGUUUCUCGAUGGCAGUGUGUAUGUAUGAUCAGUGUUUUCCGAUGGCAGUGUGUGUAUGGAAGAGUGUGUAUAUAUAUAUGAUUAUGUGAGUAUUUUAAUGAAAAUAAAAUAAAGGUUUAUAAUGAAAAUUGAGGGGCUAUUUGACAAAAAAAAAAGGUUUAUAACAUUUUUUUAACACUUUCACGCGCCAAAUGGGCGUGACUUACACGCAAUGGUUCAAGUGGGCAGAUAUAUGCCACUAAAAUACAAAAAAAUAAAAGUCUAGGGGGGUAAUAGGACCCCCGCAAAAUUCAGUAUACUCAACUAAAAAUUUGGUCAAAGUUCAGAUAUUUUCGUGGAUAUUAUCCUUUUUUUUUAAAGAGAGGUGGAGGGAAGGGGAAGGAGGGGCGGAGUUAUUAUCGACUUUUAUUUCAUUAUCAAGAGUAAAAGUUACAAAGCAGUAAGUUUAACAUAACUUGCUUAAACUAGAACGGAUCACCCCAUAAAACACUAUCUAAUAACUCUAUCGACUUUUGUUUUUAAUUAAAAUUUCACUUUUUGUGAUUAAAUUAAUUCAUUACGAUGAUAACCCUCAAAUAAUUUAAGUGAGGUAUGAAAGAAUCAUUUUUGAGAAUAAAUAAUAGAGCUUCGAAAAGAAAAUAUACGAAGAUAUAAAAUACACAAUUAUUUAUAUCGUAUUAUCAAAAAAUUUUAUCGUGACACAUCAUACUUGAAAAUUAAUAAUAAAUUUUUAUUCAUAUUUUAAUGUUUAACUUGAUUGAUUUAAUGAAAUAGAAAACUCCAUAAAAAUUUAAGAGUAUUAAUUAUAAAGGAGAUUUUAAUAGUGUUUUAAAUCGAACAUAAUAUAUAAUAUAUUUAAUUUUUAAUAUAAUAAAUUAAAUAUUUAUAAAAAUAAUUUAAACACUAUAAUUUCUUCAUUACUAAUUCCUAUAUCAUCACCAACAUGGUUUGUGGUGCAAUGGAUGUUCCACCCUUAACAAAAGGUCAAAAGUUCAACCUUGAAUAUGAAGAAAAUUCUGUUGGGAGCACUGCGAAUUAGUCGGGGUUUUAAUGUGGGCACCAAAAAACUCUAUUGGGAGUACUGUCAUUUUAGUGGAUCGUGCAAAGCGUGAUCUGAAUUAACCGAAGCUCCAAUACAAGACACUGAAUGAAAACCAAAACAAAAAAAUUCCUAUAUUUACUUGUCUUCGUAUGGAAUGAUCCCAACAUGGUAAGUAAAUUCGAAAUAAGGAAUUAGUAGUUUGGUGUAAAAGGAAAACAGAUUUUGGAAAACGGUGAUGAUUCUUGAUUUUUCUGUGUCUAUCUCACCAGAAACCAACAAAUCUACCCCCCACCAUAGCAACCCCAUCUUCCUACCUCCUCCUCCAUUUUUUUCCUUCUCUCUCUCUCUAAAACCCCAUCUCUCUUUUUCUAUCUCUAUCUCUCUCUACCCCUUUGUGUGUAUAUGCGUAUGUAUGACGAAUUCUUAACAAAGACUCACUUAGAUAAGGUAAGAGAAAUAUGGGGUUGCUAAUUAAUUUUGCUUCUUCUUUCUUUCUUGUUGCUGCUGCUGCUUCUUUAAGGUAUUCUUCUAAAAUCACUUCAGAUUUGGUCCUUUUCUUGGGCUUUGGCUUCAUUGAUUGGUAAUAUGUCACUAUUUCUCCUAUAAAUCCACUAUAUUUACACUUUUAUUAUUAAAAAAAAAUAAAGAAGAAGAUAAAAAGAUUUUUUUUUAUACUAUAUAGUUUUCUUAGCUAGUGGUAAAGAUUCAAUUUUUAUAUUGUUGUCUUUGUGUUGGAAAAGUCUGUGCACUUUAUUGGGUUGAUGUUCUUGGAUUUGGGUUGAAUUUGUCAUCACUGUAUUAAUAGGGAUUUAUACAUUUCUGCUUCCUUUUUUUUUUUCUAUUGUAGUUUGGUAGUUUGUUCCUAGCAUCUCAUUCUUUUGUUGCAUUAUAAUUUAGGGCCUAGUGGAUCUUGUUGGUUUCCCUUUUGCUCCAAAAAAAAUUCUAAUUUUAUUUUUGAUUUUCCAAUCUUGAGUUUAGAUAUAGGUUUUGGUGUUAUAGGACUAGCAUGGUUGAUGUGUUUGUAAAGAUUUAGUCUUGUGUCAAGUUGUUGUUUGGUUUGUUAGUUUUGAAGUUGUCAUUAGCAAUUGUCUCAAUUCCUAGGUAGAAUUUGUGAGUUAGUAAACCUUGUUGUCUCCCCAAGAAAAGGAAUUGUGAGAUAGAAGAUACUAUUUGGUACUGUACUGUAUUGUUGAUGGAGAAUCAUCACCCUUCAACCCGUUUGUCCAUGGAUUCGAGUGCAUCUUCUUCACAUGAUGAAUUAGACCUCGAGAUGAAUCGACAAGUAGUCAUAACUUGUCCACCUGACAUUAAUUUGCCUUUAUCAGCUGAGCGUAGCCCUCCUCUGCAGCCAUGGAACUCAGAACAUUGUGAUAUUCUUGAUGUUGGGCUUGGGACUCAGGUUUAUGAGACUGAAAGUUCACUUAGUGCACCUAAGGUUGGAAGGAAAUGUGCGAAACGGUUGGAUAGUAUUUGGGGUGCUUGGGUUUUCUUUAGCUUUUAUUUUAAGCCUGUUCUGAAUGAGAAAUCCAAGGCAAAGAUGGUACGGGAUAGUAAUGGAUAUUCCGGGUUUGAUAAGUCUGAUCUCCAGCUUGAUGUAUUUAUGGUUCAGCAUGACAUGGAGAAUCUAUAUAUGUGGGUUUUCAAGGAAAGGCCUGAGAAUGCAUUGGGUAAGAUGCAGCUCCGGAGUUACAUGAACGGGCAUUCUCGUCAAGGGGAGCGUCCGUUUCCCUUUAGUGUUGAAAAGGGUUUUGUUCGAUCUCAUAGAAUGCAGAGGAAGCACUACAGGGGUCUAUCAAAUCCUCAGUGUAUUCAUGGGAUUGAAGUCGUUCCAUCUCCCAGUCUCAUGGUUCUUGAUGAAGAGGAGCGCAAAAGAUGGAUGGAACUAACAGGUAGGGAACUCAACUUCAGUAUCCCACACGAAGCAAGCGAUUUCAGUUCAUGGAGGAAUCUCCCCAACACUGAAUUUGAGCUUGAGAGACCACUCCCACCGCCAAUUAAGAGUAAUCCACAUUCCAACCCAAAGAAGCUGGCUAAUGGAUCAGGGCUUAAUUUGUUAACUCAGCCAUCCAAUCACAGCAAUGGGGACGCAAUGGAUCUACUACCUGCCAAUGGCAAAAGGAAAAAGGAUUUCUUCCCUCACGGAAAUGAAGAGGAGUGUUACCUACAAGUAAAUCCUCCUUCCUAUCAAACGCCGGAUCUUGAAAUUCACCCAACUGAACCGCAUUGGUUACAUGACUUUACUGGGGUGAUGAGGGAUGUCUACGGGCCUGUCACAGCUGCAAAAAGCAUAUAUGAAGAUGAACAAGGUUACUUGAUUGUACUCAGUUUGCCAUUCGUAGAUCUUCAGAGGGUGAAGGUUUCCUGGCGAAACACGCUUACACAUGGUAUAAUAAAGGUGUCUGGUUUAAGCACAUCUCGGAUGCCAUUCAUCAACAGACAAAACAGGACUUUGAAGCUUGACAAUUCAUCCUCAGAACACUGCCCUCCGGGUGAGUUUGUCAGAGAGAUUCCUCUCUCAACCAGAAUUCCUGAAGAUGCCAAAAUCGAAGCAUACUACGACGAAACAGGAACUGCACUCGAGAUGUUGGUACCUAAACUUUGUGAAGGGCCUGAAGAACAUGAAGUUCGUGUUUGCCUCCGUCCUCACCUUGGGGGAAAUGAUCUCAUGUUGACCUAAGCGGAGAUGUGAUGAUACCUGUUAGGGAGGGUGCUUUAUUACAUGCACCAACUUAGUUUUCAUAUAAUGUGGUUUUAUGCAACUGUAUGAUCUUGUAUUCGAUUUGCACACAUUAGAUGUUGUUGGUAGGUUUUUUAAACUAGCCUUAGCUUUUGUUACACCACUAUUUGCUUAUGACAUUUGAUACCUUUUUUGGCUAUAUGGUAAAGUAAUUGAUAUUUGGUAGGCUCUAGAGUUGUUUGAAACUCAAUUCUAAGUUGAAUAUUGGUAUUCAAGAUUUGAUUUCAGAUAUGUGGAGAGGGAGGGAUAGAGUGAAUGCAGUUUUAGAUAAAACACCCCAACCACAAACCUGUAUUGGCAAGGUAAAGAUAUGAAGAGCCGUCUAAGGACGAUUACUUAAAUCUAUUUGUGAUCUCGAGUUUGUGGGGUUACACUGACCUCACUGCACUAGUUAAAGCAUUCAAUUAUCUGUCAGUGAAGUUAAUUGGGAAAAGAUGAGCUUGAUGAAAAUCGUGUUCGGACGAUGUAUUAAUUCACGUAAUAUCUUGAAUUAAAAAAAAAAAGAGCUUGAAAAACUCAUCCCAAUACUGAAUGAACCUCAAUCAAUGACGAGAGCUUAUCUUGUAUCUGAAGGACCACAAAACCCAAGGCAGUGGAGUGGAGCCAUUGGUCAUGCCCGUCCCAAUAUUUGAGUACUUGUGGAUUGGAAGAUCAAAAUGAAAGAAGCUGAGUCAAAAUUUGCUUGCUUACUUUUAGGUCAAGUGCAUGUCAUCAUCAACUUGCAAACAUUGUGGUCAAUGGUGGCAACUGUUAUCCACUGGUUUUUGCUGGUCCCCUUUUGAGCCUUUCUUGAUUGCUUAGAUGAAUUGCUUUUUCUCUUUAAUAUUUUGAUUUUUAAAAUAAGGUCAAAGUCAUCCUCAAAUUUAUUUUGAAAAUUCACUUAGACUCCUCAAUUGAGACUUGUACCUAUUAGGCACCUCAAGUACUAAAAUUGAUACCUAUCGACGCCGACGGCACCUUCAUCAUCGUUCACAACAUCUUGCACGCUUUCCAAGAACGAAAUUUCUUCCUCCUCCUAUUCCGCCAUUUUCGGUAGAGAUCGUUACAAGUUUUGGGCUUUUGUUGCUAUCUUAUUGUUAGCUUUUUAUGCUCGACAACUUCAUGAACUAUUAACAACAAUUACAUUAUUUCUCCAUCAAUUACAGAAAAUCAACUGCAGAAAAUAGAGAAGAAGAUGAAAUUACAUUGCUUCAUCAAUUAUAUUAAUUGCAUAUAUACACUGUUCUAUCAAUUUUCUUUGCAUUUGUAGAGCCCAACAAUUUGAAGUAAGCUUCAAACCAAAAUCCACCAAAUCAGUUGAAAAUCAGAACUCCACUAACAACAACAAAAUCACUAAUCAAUCUUUCGUCAUUGAAGGCAAAAUCAAAGAACGGAGAAACUCCAUUAAGCAUAAAAUGAGUAAUCAUUUUUCACCAUUGUCAACAUAAAAACUGGAAAAAAAAAUCUUUCUUUUUUUAUAAAAUCAGUAUGUGUGUGUGUGAAGACGAUGGCAUCUGUGUGUAUGUGAAGACGACGGAGGAGGGGGCUUGUGAAGAAGGCAACUGCGUGGGUUACGGGUGGUUUUUUUCCUUUUUUUUUAAUUGAGAAAUUAUUAUUAAAUAGGAAAGGAGCAAAAUCAGAUAUUAAAAGAAAAAUGCCACCUUUUUUUUUCUAAUUGAACAUUUUUUUCCACGCGUUCUAAUUGAACAUUUUUUCCACGUCAUCACGUGUAUUACACACAUUUAAGAUUUUACCUGAUUGAACAAAAAAGGCUCAAUUGGAUCAAAAUUUGAGAGGUUUAGGGACCUGAAAGUAUAAGUCUUAUUUGAGAGAGCUACAUGGAUCUGCCUUUAAAUAAUUGACAAACUGUCAACAGAACUACGUACUAAUUUCAUUAUGCCAGUUUUCUUGGGACAGUAGAAAACGGGUUGAAACUGGUACCGCAUCCUUGAAUUAAAUAACGUCACCUCUAAGAACAGCAAUCGUCCAAUUAUCAUAAGUGAACAUUCCGUCUCAAUUUUAGAAGUAAGCAACUUAUCAACUAAUAUACUUGAAAAGAGCCACAAUAAACAAAUUGUGAACUCAUGACGUCAAGAACAAUUAGGAUUGCCAGAGAAAAUGUUCUCAUAUGUGUUCCUUCUAUCUUCCAUACACAAAGGCCUCUUACCCAAAGAGAGAUCCAUUAGGCCACGAAGCACAAACAUAUCAUAAGACUAUCAGAGACUACAAAUAGAAGAGCAGAAAUUUAAAGCAUAUACCAAAAACAGGCUAGCCAAACUUUCAGCAAAAUCUGAAAUUAUAGAUCCAAAUAUGAAGUAUACUUGAUAAACAAGCCAAAAUACGCAAAAGUAUCAUUAACUAAAAACUACAAUGCAGAAACAAUAAAUGGAGUUCUUGGGGAUAAAAGUAAUUGAAACCAAAACAUGAGGAACAGAAAACAGCUUAGUCGACCUCCUCGAUCUUAGGACCAGCACCACUGCCACCACCAGGAGCAGGGCCAUCAUCAUCGCCCAUGUCAGCACCCAUGUCACCACCAGCACCUUGGUACAUCUUGGCAAUAAUUGGAUUGCAGAUGCUCUCCAACUCCUUCAUCUUGUCCUCAAAUUCAUCGGCCUCAGCAAGCUGGUUGGCAUCAAGCCACUGGAUGGCCUGCUCAAUAGCAUCCUCAAUCUUCUUCUUGUCAGCUUCAGUCAGUUUGGAUGCAAUCUUCUCGUCCUUGAUGGUGUUCCUCAUGUUGUAAGCAUAGUUCUCCAAAGCAUUCUUUGCCUCAACCUUCUUCUUGUGCUCUUCAUCUUCAGACUUGUAUUUCUCUGCUUCUUGAACCAUCUUUUCAAUCUCCUCCUUGGAGAGUCUGCCCUUGUCAUUGGUGAUGGUGAUCUUGUUCUUUUGUCCAGUAGUCUUGUCCUCAGCAGAUACAUUCAAGAUACCAUUGGCAUCAAUGUCAAAGCACACAGUGAUCUGAGGAACACCCCUGGGAGCAGGAGGAAUACCAGAGAGCUCAAAUUUACCAAGCAAGUUGUUGUCCCUGGUCCUAGUUCUCUCACCUUCAUAGACCUGGAUCAACACACCUGGUUGGUUAUCUGAAUAGGUUGAGAAGACCUGCUCUUUCUUGGUUGGGAUAGUGGUGUUUCUGGGAAUCAAGACAGUCAUGACACCACCAGCAGUUUCAAUACCAAGGGAAAGAGGGGUAACAUCCAACAGCAACAGGUCUUGCACCUUUUCGUUACCUUCACCACUCAAAAUUGCAGCUUGUACAGCAGCACCAUAAGCAACAGCUUCAUCAGGGUUAAUGCUCUUGCAGAGCUCCUUCCCAUUGAAAAAGUCUUGCAGGAGUUGCUGAACCUUGGGAAUUCUAGUGGAGCCACCAACAAGUACAACAUCAUGGAUAGUGCUCUUGUCCAUCUUAGCAUCUCUCAAACACUUCUCAACUGGUUCCAUACACUUCCUGAACAGAUCCAUGUUAAGCUCUUCAAAUCUAGCACGGGUAAUGGUGGAAUAGAAAUCGAUACCCUCAUAAAGAGAAUCAAUCUCAAUUGUGGUCUGAGCAGUGGAUGAAAGGGUCCUCUUUGCCCUCUCACAAGCAGUUCUCAACCUUCUGAGUGCCCUAGGAUUACCGCUGAUAUCCUUCUUGUUCUUCCUCUUGAAUUCCUGAACAAAAUGGUUGACCAUCCUAUUGUCAAAGUCCUCACCUCCAAGAUGAGUGUCUCCGGCGGUAGCCUUAACCUCAAAUAUACCUUCCUCAAUGGUAAGGAGAGAGACAUCGAAGGUACCACCACCAAGAUCAAAGAUCAACACAUUCUUCUCACCAACACUAGUUGCCUUCUUAUCCAAACCAUAAGCAAUGGCAGCUGCUGUAGGUUCAUUGAUAAUACGCAUAACAUUCAGACCAGCAAUAACACCAGCAUCCUUAGUGGCCUGACGCUGAGAGUCAUUAAAGUAGGCUGGAACGGUAACCACAGCAUUCUUGACAGUCGAACCCAAGAAAGCUUCAGCAAUCUCCCUCAUCUUAAUAAGCACCAUAGAAGAGAUUUCCUCAGCAGCAAACUGCUUCUCUUCACCCUUGUAGUUGACAACAAUCAUUGGCUUAUCACCAGGUCCAGAAAUGACCUUAAAUGGCCAAUGCUUGAUGUCACUCUGCACUGACACAUCGCUGAAUCUCCUACCAAUCAACCUUUUUGCAUCUGCAUUAUAAAUAAUUUCCAGUUAACACAUAAAACAUUAAAAAAAUAACAAGAAAAGAAAAUUUUCCUCUAAUCAUUACGUACUAAUUACUUAAAGAUUCAAACUCCACUACAUUAUUUGCUAAAAACAGGGUUCUCCAAUCAGAACUUCUUAAUAAACAAAUGACCAUAUCAGAUUAUGCAAUUAUUCCAGAAAACAGAAAAAUGCAAGCAAAACUAUCCACUAUAACAAGUAGACAAGUAAUAGAAGACACUAGAAACAGCAAUAAGCUAAGUAAACAAGCAAGCCUUUCUUUACUAUCUUCAAAUGUACACAUCAAUCACAACACAGGCUACCAAAAUAGUUCAAUCUUCAAAUGUAAAUGUCUAAGACAAGUUAAAAGAUAGUCUUAUAAUAUCUAAACACCAAAUAAUUUUUUAAAAAAGUUUAAUUUAAAAGCAGAUUCCUAUAUAUAAUAGCAGACCUUUAAUAUGAAAAGCAAAUUUAUCAAGUCCAUAUUUUAGCUCAAAUCACCUCUCUAUAAGCACAAGCAAAAUUAGAGCUCUAGUACAAAAGCUGUUAAGCAUCUUCAUAAACAUCUGAAGAUCUACACUAGCUAAACUUACAGGGGCAAGAUAUUUCAACUAAGACACAAAUUUACAAGAUCUACCACCAGACUCAUCAACAUAACAACACUAACUUCCUCAAUCAACAGAUCAGAUAUAAAAUUCAAGUUAAGUAAUGACCGUACACUGCAAAACUACUUACAGCAAGUCUUGUCCAAUCAAUCAUGGAAAGCUAGGUACAAUGAAUAGUAAAAAGCAAAGAACAAACAAGACUUUAUUGAACAAAUGCACAUGAACUAAACUAACUAUAAACAACCGAAACAAAUCCAACAAAUUAGAAUUAGCAUACCAACUUCACAGUAAAUCUAGUCCGAUCUAUAAUGAAAAGCUAGCAAAACUAACUAUUAAUAAGUGAAGUAGUGCUCUUAUCAAUUUUACAGUAAAUCUAGUCCGAUCUAUCAUAAAUAUUUAGAUAAACUAACUAUUAAUAGCAAAAACAUGCCCCAACACACAAGUAUUAGCACCAUAUAUUACAAUCCUCUAAUCAGUUUUACAGUAAAUCUAGUCCGAUCUGUUAAAAAAUUAAGCUAAACUAUCAACAAGCAAAAAACUUAAACAAAUUGGAGUUAGCAUCACAGAAUACUCUUCUAGCAGCCUCUAAAUAUAUACAUUUAAAUUUUACAGUAAAUCUCCGAGUCAAUGAAACUGGAACGAGCAUCAUAGGAUACUCUUAUAGCAGCAUCUGAACACAUAAAUUUCAAUUUUACAGUAAAUCUAGUCCGAUCUAUGAUCAAACGCUGACUAAACAAACUAUUAAUAAGCAAAAAUACUCCAACAAAUUAGAAUGAACAUCAAAAAUACUCUUAUAGCAACCACAGAACAUAUAAAUAUCAAGUUUUCAGUAAAUCUACUCCGAUCUAUCGCAAGAAAUACGCGAAAAAUUCAAACAAAUCAGAAUGAGCUUCAUAAUCAGAUAUACAAAACUUGUACACAAAGAACAGAUCUCGAUCUUACCAAAAACAGUGUUGAUAGGAUUCAUAGCAACCUGAUUCUUAGCAGCAUCACCAAUAAGCCUCUCAGAGUCAGUAAAUCCAACAUAUGACGGCGUCGUCCUGUUACCUUGAUCAUUAGCGAUGAUUUCAACACGAUCAUGUUGCCAUACACCAACGCAGGAGUACGUUGUUCCUAGAUCGAUUCCGAUUGCCGGACCUUCACCCUUUCCCGCCAUUAUUGUUACUGUUUCUCUCUCCUUCGUUUAGUGUCGGCGAGUGAAGAAAAAGGAGAGGCAGCAAAGAGGUUUGGAGAACUAGGGUUUGCAAGGAGGAGGUAGGGGGAAAAAGGGGGAGUUUAUAUAAGGAGUGGAGUUCUAGAAUGUUCUGAAACCCUAAGAUUGAGAGUUAGUUUAUAGCCGUUAGAUCUCUGAGAUGAGACUUUGACGGUCGUUCUUCUUUCUUUUUUUUUUUCCUUUGUGGGGUCGGACUUUCCCCCCACUAGCCAAAUUUGACUGGUUUUUGUUCCACUUGCCUCGAGUAAUUUAUGCUAUUUUUGGGAUCGUUUGGAGAGAAUAGAGUGUAUAAGAAUAAUGUUAAAUAAGGUGUAUUAGUAAUACUUGUAUUAUUAAUGCAAGUAUUAAUAAUAUUGGUAUUAGUUAUAUAUACAUUAAUUUUGCAUAUUGCUUGGUUUAAUAUAUUAAAAAUAAUAUAUAUUUUAUAUAAAUUUUAAAAAGAAAUACUCAUUUACUGAAUUACCCUUCCUUAAACCCCUGUACAAUUUGUUUUCAAAACAGAGAUCAACUAGCAGCAGCUUCGAUCCUCCACUUCAAUUUGUUAACUCAAUCACUGUUAACCACAACAUCAGACAAGGAGAUAAAGAGGCGGCAAUGAGGAGAAAAACAUAUGGAGUAGACAUACUCCUCUCGAUACUCCACUUCAAAUUUCCAACCCAAUCAAUGUUACCAAAUAUCAUCUCUAUGAAAAACAUAAUCAUUAUGAAUACCCAUUUGAGAACUUUUGUGAAUACCCAUUAUAGAUCUGAAAGAAGCAACUCUGAAAUGGUGAUAUAGUGGGAAAGGACCAAAGAACCAAACAUGCGCUCUAGGUAGAAACCAACAACACCAAGCCUCGACCAAGCUGACGUCUGAAAAUGGGGUCAAUUGUUAAAGGUUUCUUGCUAUAAUCCAUGUGAUAUAGUGGAAAAAGAAAGUAGGAAAAUAAUUUUAGGAAUAAUAAUGUCAUUUAAUAAAUUAAUACAUGUGUUCAAAGUAUUGCAUUACUAAUACAUAGAAAAUGGUGUGUAUCACUAAUACACACCUUAAUACACAAUAGAGUGUAUAACUAGUACAAAUAUUAGUUAUGCAUAAUUUGAAAAAUGAUACCAAACAAGGUAAUGCUAACACACAAAAAUUAAUGCAUGCAUUAUAUGUUUAAUACACUCUACCAGACGACCCCUUUAUGGCUUAUCUAGAUGUCAAAGGUCGUGUUGUCACGGGCCCAAUAUAUGUUAUUUUUUAGUCGUAUUUAUGUGACAUAAAUAAAAUUUAGAUAAUCAAUUAUAUUUUUAACAUGCUUAAGAUAUUCUAAGUUGUUAACUAUCAUAAUUUAUAAUACUUUUUAUAUACUUUUUAAAUAAUACAUGUUACUCUUCUUGUUCAAACUUUUGUGGCAUCACUAGCCAAUUAUAUUUUGUAAAAUAAUUUAAAUUUGUAAUUAUUAAGAUUUAUAAUAAUUUUUUGUAUAUUCCAAUUUAAGUGACACUGAUAUAAUUUCUAGAGUCAAUCAAAUAUUUUAUAUCUUUAUAUUUUUUAAGUUAUUAAUUAUUGUGAUUUAUAAAAUUUUUUUUGAAAUAUAUGGUUUUACAGCAUUAUGUGGUUGAAAAUGUAUAGAUUCUACUUUUGUUUCCCCUGGGUUAGCAAGUCUCUCUUCCUCUCUCUUAACCCCUUCCCCGUAACGUUUUUUAACAACACCUUUGACGUGACCCGGGCAGCUCCAGCGCCGACUCCGGCUUAGAAAUGUUGGUGACAAAUAAGUGAACUCUUUCUUUCUCCCCCUCCCCCCCCGAUUCUCUCUCUUCACUGUUUUUUGUCUCUUCCCCCUUUACACUUUUCACUGCUCUUGUCGACGUGAUAAGGUUUUCGUCGGUUCGCCCCCGGCGACGUGUCAGUGUGCAGCACCGGACUCAGGCGAUCAAAUCUGAUUCCGUGUUUCCAUAUUACUAGACCCUGUUCAACCGGAUCUGAUUUGGACGAUAUUUUGGCAAAGCUCCGACGAUAAUAUUCCUGCGACCAAUUUCUGCAUCAAUUCGCCGGAAUCCAACAUACCACGCAAGAGAAGAGGACCUGGUCUACAAGCGUAACUCGGUGACUUCUAUCCUUUGUUAUUUACUUUCUCUUAUUAUUUUUUGUCGCUUGACUUAUUUUUAAUUUAUUGGGAUUUGGUGACUUUUGUUUUGUUGCUCUUGGUGUUAGGCCAAAUAGUGUGCUUUGCGUAUGCCUCCUAUUUCUCACUGUUGUUUUUGUUUCUAUCUUUGUUUGUAUUUUUUAUUCUAGUAGUUGCUGUGGGGUUUGAUGGUAGGAUGGGUUCAUGUCCGAGAGGGUUGGGGUUUGGGGAUGGUUUGAGGGUGGGGGAAGAGGGGAAGGCUGGUUUGGAAGUGGGGACAAGGUCUGGUGUUAGGACAGGUUUGGGGUAUAGAGUGAGGGGUGGUAGAGGUAGACGUGACCCAAGAGUUGAUAGGUUGAGGGUGGGUCUUGAAAUAUAGGGACCCUUCAGGGUAAGUCUAUAGAGCUUGUAAAAAUUCUUAGAAAGAGGAGGAUCAAUAUUGCGUGUGUCUAGAAAAACAAGUGGGUAGGGUCUAAGGCUAGAGACGUAGAUGGGUACAAGUUGUGGUACUCAGGAAGUGAGAGGUGUAGGAAUGGAGUAGGCAUCUUAGUAUAUGAAAACUUAGAGGGAAAGUAGUGGAGGUUAAGAGGGUUAGCGAUAGGUUGAUGACUAUUAAGUUGGUCAUUAGGGGGUUUACUCUGAAUGUGUGUAGCAUUUGUGCGCCACAGGUGGGCUUGAGAGAUGAGAAGAAGAGGUUUGGGGAGGCUUUGGACGAGGUGGUGAGAGUCAUGCCUAGCUCUGAGAAGAUUAUUAUAGCAGAGAAUUUCAAUGGGCACAUUGGGGUGUUAUCGGGAGGCUAUGGCGAUAUGCAUUGAGGUUUUGGUUUUGGGGUGAGGAAUGAAAAUAGAGCUUGUUGACACCCAAUUUUGUCCCGCCUUUUUUUCAAGUUAUCUCUUUGCGCUUCUAAAUAAUUUUGAUAGAUUAAAAUUAAAAUAAUGAUAUAUAUAUAUAUAUAUGUGUGUGUGUGUGUGUGUGUGUAUGAUAUUCCUAUAACUAGGAUUUUAUAAAAUCAUCGAUAUUAUUAUUAUUAUUAUUAUUAUUAUUAUUAUUAUUAUUAUUAUUACCAUUUUGGUUAUAUUUUAAAUUACUAUCGCAUUUCCUAAACUUUCACAAAAAAGACAUUUUUUUUAUCGAAUAAGUAUUUUGCAACUUUUUUUCCUUUAUAAAUUUCAUCGUUUUAUCAUGAAACUUUGUUUAAGUUAUUUAUAUUUUUUUUAGAAUCAAAUAAUUUUUGUCAUUUAUUCGAAUAUUUAUAAUAUGUUCUUGUUAAAAGUGUUAUUUAAUUUAAUUUAGAAAGCCCAAAGAACAUAAGAAAGGAGAUAUUUUUAAAAUCAACCCAUUUUAUAACAUUCUUGAAAUUUGGCCCAAUUUCAAGAUAUGACUCAUAAAGCCCAUCUUUCUCAUCCCUUUUCCACCUCAUUGCCACAUAAAUGCCAUGUUUGCACCACACAAGGCACCAAAUAGUCAUAGCACACACCAAGCACACGCUUGUUGCACUCUCCUACACCCUUGCAUACGCCUAGCACCCCCCGCCACGUGCCUUUUCCCUAUUAGCUAGUCAAACUCAGUUAAUUCUCAAGUAUAGCAUACUACCUAUUUUGUCCUCAAUUAUUAUGCUUAAGAUACCCAUAAUACCCUCAAGACCUCAAAAUCAGGCCUAAAUUUCCUCUCUCUCAUAUGCAAAACACGAUUUUUCCUUUCUAAACAUAUCUCAACGUUUCUUUUUCCUCUUCUAGCAAAGUUGCAGACUCUUUUCUCUAUGGACAGAGCUUGUUUCUCUACUCUCAUGUGAUGGCCAUAUCAGCCACAUGAGGCACUAAAUCCAUAAAAAAUUCACAGCUUCCAACUCCAAAGAUGGUGGUUGACUGGAAUUUAAAAUUCAAAACUCAAAGAUCCCGCCUAAACUUGAAGCCCUAAUGUUUCUAUAUUAAUAUUGGAGUUUGGGAUCCAUAAGGGGAGGUUUUUUUUGGCCGCACACCCCCUACAUAAAGUUAGUUUUUUUGGCCACUUAUUCCCUCUUGAACCUCGUUGUAUUAUAUUUUCUUGUAUCUCUCUUUGUCUCGGCCUUUCGGAAUUUGGACUCGACGAAGCUUUUCACCAUCGAGCGUGUUCCGAGUUUGCCCGUCGCUUGAGUUCGAGCCUAGAUCGGUGGCCAAAGCACCCUAAUUCACUGCCCCAUAAAAGUUCGAAGCAAAUGGAGUCUUAAUUCAAGACUCUAGCUAAUCGAGUCUCAAAAUGAGACGACGUUACCUCUCCUCUGCAAAGACGUCAUAUUCUAUACUCGCAAAUCAAAUUCGCUAGCAAUUUAAAACCUCUUCCUUUCUUUCAAUCUCCAUUUCCUUUGUAUACAUAUAUCCUAUUAUCCUCAUUACUUUAUUUUUGCACAUUGUUGUUUAGAAUUGGAGUUUUUGUUUGCUUAUGUUUGAACUAGUAUAAGCUUAUUAAAAUGGAUGAUAAAUUUAUCUAUUAUCCUCCUCACCCUUGGAUUAGAUAGUAAUUUUAAACUAAUUACUUGGCUUAGGCGUAUGACUAGUAUAGUUAAAGAUUAAAAUUUGAUAGAAAAAAAUAUAUCUUUUAGAGUUUGAUGGCCUAAUUAUUAAAAAUUCAUUUUCCUUUAGAAUCAAAUUAGUUUUGACUAAUUAGUAACUUUGAUUUAGUCAAAUAUAGGUUUUGGUGGUAGGAAAAUUUAUUAUCGUUAGCUUGAUAGUUGGCUUUAUUUAUUUUGGAUGUAGUAAUUAAUUUUAUUUCACAUAAAAGAGGGUAACUAUGCCAAUUUGAUUUCAUGAGGCAUUCCUAGGAUUUUUAAAUGGCAAAAUUUAUUUUCACAAAAAAAAAAUGUCUUUUCUUGAUAAAAAAUAGAAUCUUAAGCCACUAGUAGAUUUAAGGAAUUUUAUAUCUUCAAAGCUAUCUUCCAAUAAUCUAUUUAAUAUGAUGCGGCUUAAUUUUUUCUUACUUUUACUUAUUUUAUAAAAUUGAUAAAGGAAGGGCAAAAGGUUGUUUUUAUAAAAUGUGCAACUUUCAUAACGUGACUAAUCUUUCGUUUAAACUAUUAGUUAGGAACCUUUGUAAAUCUUUUUUUUCUAAAAGAUGAUUUGAAAUAACUCCCUCUCUCACCAAUUUUAAAUAAAAUAUAGUACCUUUUUCAAUUUGAUUCCAUGAAGUCUUUUCUUAAGAUUUCAAAUGGCAAUGAUAUUAGUUUAAAACAUAAGCUAAAAAAAAAUUCCCGAGUCUAUAUGGAUCUAAGUAUUUAUUUUAGUUAUCCUCAACGAUUCAUUUAGUAUAGGAUAAUUAACUAUCUUAUUUACUUCUAUUUUGUGAAAUUUGAGCAAACAAAAAAAUAGCAAAACAGUAAUUUAUUUAUUUUUAAAAUGUAAAAUGUGAAGUUAUUAACAUAAUUAACCUUAUCAAUUAUUAAUUAAAAGCUUUUGUAGAGAAUUGACUUAAAAUAAUUAUUUUGUUAUUAUUAUCAUUAUUAUUAUUUUAUUUAUUUAUUUAUUUAUUUAUUUUGACAACAAUAAGGUUGCAUAUUUUUAGGAGUUAUCUUUUUUAUAAUUUUCAAAAGUGGGUGAGCCUUACUAAAAAUUUUCUAACCUUUUCUUAUAAAUAAUUAACUUGUUUUGUUUCAAUAAGACAAAUAUAUUUUAACACCUUAUUUAUAUCAUUUUUAACGUAGCUUUUGAUUUCUUUAUCUGACCUAAGUUUGGCCGGUUAAUCAUAGUUAGCGGAUCCUUUAGGAUGCCUAAUCCCUUCCCUUUAUGAUAAUUAGAAUCCUUACCUAGAAUGUUAAGUUGCGUAGACCUUAAAAUGAAGUCUUUUAAUUUCCUUAAUCACAAAGGUUAUAAUAGGUGUCCUAAUUCACCGUAGAACUGAAUAGGUGGCGACUUCCUUAAUUCAAUUACAAGUUUUCCAAUAUGUUGUACACCAGUUUGACCCGUGUUAAAAUGGGGUAUAACAGCUUGGCGACUUUACUGGGGACUUAUUAGGUUCUUAACCAUAACAAACUUAGUUAAUAAUUAAGUCUUUAUAUUUUGUUAUUUGUUUCACCCUAUUUGUCUUGUUUUAUUAUGUUUAUAUGGCAUAAAUUAUUUAUUUGCUAUUGUUUUGUAUAAAUUGAUUACUUGUUUAUCGCUUUAUAAAUUGGCAUUCCGUUAAACUUCCUCCACUUCGAAAAAUUGACACUCACACACGUUGUACACGCGGAUUGUACAUUUUACUUUUCUAAAAUUCUUUCAAAUCACCAAUUUUAGAGAGUCGACGUAUAUGUGGGGUGAGCGGGAGUUUUACUGUCGCGAGACCACGUGCCUUCUCAUAUAAGAAAUCUAAGUUUGUGUCCUCCCAAAUCUUAGAAAACUUAAGAUAGAGCGUUGCCACGCUUGAUUUAGGCCAUACAUGCAUAAGCCCUGGGUGGUUUGACCCAUGUCAAAAGGGUUCACAACCCGAUGACGACCUUCAUAUUAUAUGCAGAGAUAACGAUAAAUUGAUCCAAGUCCAAUUUUGACCAAAUUGAGUUUGGAAAAUUGUAAAUCCAAGCUCAAGUAGUGUCAUUAAUUAAAUCUUGAAUCAAUUUAUCGAAAUCUCAAUUAUUUGACGCUUAGGCCUACCUCCUGCAUAAAGGAUUCACCGGCAUAUUAGGACGUGUAAUUUAACAUAUUUGUGUUAUUUGUCCUGCAAAUUUGCUUGUUACAUGUUAUUUGACCUACAUGAAUUUAUUUGCAAUUUGAUUUAAUAUUUAUUUGUUAUUUUCACCUUUGUUUUGUCCUUAUUUUUAGAUAAGAAAAUAAAAAAUUCCACUUAUAUAUCUCUUUAUUAUCUAUCAUAUUUUCACAUAUUUUAUAUCAUGAAAUUUCUUUAAAAUUCUUAUUGUAACACUUCUAUGCUUAACACAUUUUAAUGAUUCUAGAGCGCUAUUUACGAAAUUAUCUUCAGCCCGUCGAAUUCUUAGUAUUUCUGUAACGCCCCAAUUUUCUAUAAUCGGAAUGCCACACGGUGCUCAUGAUCUCGAAGGACCACAAGCUAACCCUCUAUUGAUAUCUGUACCGGAGCACUGCAUAAUAUAAUAUGACAAAUAUAGAAAACUGGCGGAAACGUACCAUAAGGUUCAAAACAUCUAAAAUAUUGAAAAAUGAGAUCAUAAUAUUGAUACAUCUAUCCAAAAAAACUCUAAACUGUCUGAACUGUGGAGUUGAUGGGACAUGUCCCCAACUAACUCAUCUACUGAAAAUAAACUGAGUCUAAUGCAAUAAUAAGAUAAGGAUCAUUCUCGAAUAAUGAGGACUCAUUGCUAAGUCUACCGUUGCUGACUGAAUCUGGACUGCUAAGGAUGCUCUGGAUCUUGCGCUUCGGAACCUAUGGUAUAAGACACCAUAGCGCAAGAAAGUAUGCGUCAGUACUUUAAAUGUACUGGUAUGCUAGAUGAGGUAAGGCUGAAUGCAAGAGCUUAUGCAUGAACAAUACUGACUGAAUAAUCUGAAUAUGCUGAAUGAGGAUACAUGCAUGAUUGCAUAAAUCAUAGCUAAAAUCAUGGCAACACUGAAUACUAACUUCUAAACACUUGAACUUCUGACAACUGAGCUUAUUAUUACUGACAUCUGAAUUCACUAGCACUGGGAGACUGAAUAUCUGAGUCUUACUAAUAACUGAGUUCUGAACUUGCUACUAUCGACUGACUAAAUCUGAGAUCAAACCCCUUUAACGGAUGAUCUCUGAAUCUACUAAUAAUGAUAAAAAAUAAUUGUAUCUGAGAUCAGACCUAUCUAAUGGAAGAUCUUUGAAUAUUUUAAUGAUAAAAAUGCUGGGCUGAGUUUGAGAUCAGGCAUAUCUAUCGGGUGAUCUCUGGAUCUUCUGAUAGUGAUAAGGAUAAUAAUAAUAAUUGACUGAGUUUGAGAUCAAGCCUAUCUAAUGGGUGAUCUAUGAAUCUGUGGAACUAUCUAAGUUCCUUACUGAGCUGUGUGACCGUAUCUGACGAUCCUAAAUUUGAAGAACUAUCUAAGAUCUUGACUAAGACUGAAUCUGAAGCUGAAACUAUAACUGUGGGAGUUCUCACUUAACCGACAUGCCUCAAAUCUGAUCUAGUGGGGGUCUAACCUGUAACCCUAGCUGAAAGGGUGUCAAGACCGUGCCACGGGUAAAGACCUCUGCUAUGGUCAAGCCUCUCUAACGGGUAACCCUAGAUAGAAAGUCAAGCCUAAGGCAGUAUGAUAGUCAAGCCUUAAUCUAACCGGUGACUCCUAGUCCUACGCCGGCUACGCAGUUCUGGAGUUCAGGGAUUGCUCUUAACGACUCUGCCUCUCUAACAGGGAAGCUGUCAUCCCUGCACUCGCUCGGUGCUAGUUCCUACUCCCAAAUGAAAGACACUGAACUAAUUGUUAACUGAACUUAGACUGAGCUGAAUCUGUUACUGAUUAUGCUACUUGACUGAUCUGACUGAGUUUACUUAAUUUCGUUGUCUAAUGAAAUACUUCUAAAUUCUACUUUCUGUCUGAAUACGACUGAGUUCUGUAACUUACGGAGUUUUACUAAAAUUUGAACUGAAUACAGAAUACUAUUGAGGUCUGAACUGAGUACUGAGCUGGAUUAGACUAAAUACUGAGAUUUACUGAGUUUUCUUAACUUCUGUCACUAACUGAAAUCUACUGAUCAUAGCACGACUGAUAUUAUCUUGAGACUGACUCGGCUCUACAUAAGCAACUAAGUUUUCGGGUAUAAAUACACCCAGGACUCAAUUGCAUAAAUAAAUAAAACAUCAACUCUUGUGUAACAACAUGACAAUAGACUAUCAUUCGCAACAUGAUCAAGGAAGUAUCACUUCAAGCACUUGGGAAUCUUAAACAUGUAAUUAUAUAUGGAGGCAUGCUAUUGUCUCAUAACUUAUUCAACAAGGAACCCACAUGAAUAGAGAGUACAUGCAACGUAUCAUACUUCACUCAUCUUGACAUUACAACAAACACUGACAUGCAUUACUUGUCACAAAAUUGGAGAUUUUAUACUUAACAUGCUACAGUGGUACUAUUUUCUUCAUAUAAGCAAUUUAUCAAACAUGUAGGAGGCACACUUUGAUCAUACAACAUUCAAGACCCCAAAUUAACACGAUUACAUAAUUCAACAUGCUUCUUAAAGGGCUUUUAUCAUGAACAUCACAUAAUCACACAUACUAAGGUCAAAGCUUGAAUAUUUAUAAUCAAAACAUAUCUACAACAUAAACUUUAACUUAUAUUCACAUAAAUCAUGGGAACUCAUAAAAAUAAAAUCUUUGAAACUUUAAAGAGGAUUCUUGAACUUCUUGGGUGGAAGGAACCCAAGAAUCAACAUCAAACAUACCUUAGUAUAUGAUCCUUGAACUUUUAACGGAGGAAUCUUGAUGACUUGGGUCUUGAAUUAUGAACCCUAAUAUUUGUUCUUGAAGGAAAUUGAGAGAAAACUAGUAUUUUUUGGAUGAAAUCAAUGAGAAAUCUCGUGUUAAAGAGUAUAUAAAGGGGUUGGAAAUUAACUAUUUUACUCUUGGAAACACGGAAGCUGAAGGCUGAAAUGUUGGCCCAAGGCUAUAGCCUGUGCAUCCCUCUGCUAUUUACAAGGGAGAACCUGGGCGACGCCUUGCUACAGAGGGAGGGGGCCAAGGCUCAGAGCUGGGCGGCGCCCCUCUGUAGCCUUCAACUACUGUUUUGCCAACCCAAACACGACCUUAGGCUCAUCCCAAAAUUCUGAAACUCACUCGGGAUGUACUCUUGACUUUCCCCAUCACAACACAACAAGAAAAUUAAGAAACGGAGGUCGGGAAGGUCACAAAAUAAUUCGUCAAAUUUUCGAAGGCUUAUGGAAUGGAAAAGUUUCAACACUUAGCCAAAUUUUCUGAGUGUUAAGCUUUUCUUGUCAUGCUUUAGAAGCUCUAUUGACUCGGAAAUUUUACGGGGUGUUACAAUUUCAAUUAAGGUUUUCUCCCAUUUUAUUUCUUACGAUCUCCUAUAAGGUUCACAUUCUUUCUUCAAAAUAGUAAUGAGCUUAGUUCGACAUUAUUUUAAUUUUUUUCCUAGAGAUUUCAAUACUUAUGUCAGCCACUUGUUACAAAAAAACCUACUCUGUUAACAUUGGCAUAAUUCUUUGCAAAUAUUUCUACUAAAAUAUUCAUUUCAAAUUUUGUCAGAUUCGUGCUUAAUCAAAUUUUGCCAAACUCGUGCUAAAUUCGAAUGUUUGAAUCCUUUAUCUUUUCAUGCUCUUCCAAGUCCAUAUUUUACUGGCGUAAUCUUCUGUUUGUAACGACGGAACAUUCAGCACUCCGUAGUAUCUAUUUAGUGCCGAUCUAUGUCAUAAAAUUUUUGCAUGUGCUCUUCAAUAUUUUCAUCCUUUCGUUGGCCUUCAGUUUAUUCAUUGCUUCUUAAAUUGGUAGAUAACCAAAAAAUUUACUCAAGCUAACAAGUCGCACUUGACUUUAGUGGUUUAAUUUUCUCCCUUAAAUUGUUUUAGAGUAGAGACCCUAAAUUUGAUACUUUUCUAAAGUUUCAGUCAUUCAAAGGGCAUGUGUCGUUCCUAUCUUGAGAUUAUUGGUAUUGAUCUUCCACAUUUUUUUUAAAACUCAAGCUUUAGCGCAUAGAUCAAGAAAAUUCUAUUAUUUUUUCUUCGUCUUUGAUAUUCUUUUUUUUUAUCCAACAAUAUUAAGUUAGAAUUUUGAGUCAUUCACAAUCCUUGGUCUUAUCGAAGUUUAAUCUCCGUGCGUUCUAUUUUUCUUAUUAAUUAUCAUCUCGUGCUUAUACCCCUUAUAGGACUCAACCUCUUAGGUUUUUUUUAAUCACAUUUCUAAAUGCUUCAUUUCUAAUAGCCUUUAACAACUAUUCAACACUUACCAAAUAUUUCUUUCUCCUUUCAAAGGUUGACUUAAGUAAAGCACCAAAGGUAACUCAAGGAAGUUAUGGCCGAUCAAAUUAUUGUGAUUGACCUUGUUGAGGAUGAGUUCGACUUUGAAUAAUUAGAGUCAUAUCGAGAUAAAGUUGCUAAGCUUGAGACAAAGGUGUCACAAAUGGAGCAAGAAAUUGAUAGCAUGAAAGAAAUGAUAGUAGACCUUAAGAACUCAUUCACUGGAGGCUCAGAAGUAUACUCACCCUUCGGCACUUCCACACCUCCCACCUUUGAAGGCUUAGAAGCAUACUCGCCCUUUGGAACUACUGCACCCACUUUUGAUUAUAAUGCCCAACUUUUCUCUAACGUGCACUCAUCCUUACCAAAAGAGUCAUUUAAUAACUUGGCAGAGACGAGCAAAAGUAGUGCAAAGGGUGGAAGGCAUUUUGACAUUAAAACUAAUCAGAUUUCCUUUACAAAUGAGUCUGCUUUGCCUUGUGAGACGGAUUAUGGCAAUAUUCUGAUGUACACCGGAGUUGGUUGUUCUAUAGACUACCUGAAGGCAUAUGUUUAUUGGGUGAGAAAUAUUGGACAAGACAAUGAAUUAAAGAUGAGACUCCUUGUUAGGACCUUUCUAGCUUUGAUGUGGUACGCAACGCAAGGUAUGUGGAAAUGGUCUUCUUAGGACAACCUUGUCAAUGAUUUUGUCAAGCAACACGAGUCUUCUAAUAGUUUUUCUAGAGGAGUUGGCUUGUCUAAAAGAAAAUCUGCAGAGUUUCCUAGGGGUCCGAAAGGAAAAGAACCAAGCUCAUCCUUUCCUGCAAUUUUUGCAAGCACCUACAAUCGAACCUGGCAGAACUCUAGCAAUGGUUUCCUCGAGCAUAACGAUUAAAGUAUAACAGGAUCCUAUUUUUAAAAAUAUGUCAUCUAGGACUUAUGAAGUAGGAUGGUCAGUUUUUUGGGUAGUAUCUUUUUGGGAACAAUUAUGUAUUGUUGUGAACUUAAUGAUCAAUUCUUUGUAAAUUUUUAAAUUUUCUUUUAUGUAAGGUGAACUACAGUUGAACUGAUUUCCUUGGUGGAUAUGUAGGUGGCCCACAUAGGGACUCAGUCAUAUUAUUAUAGAAUUUCUACUUUCCUUUUGCAUGUAAUUGAAACUAUGUUCGACCUGAUUUCCUGACGGACACAGGAUACGUAGGUAGCCUACAUAAGGCUCGGUCUCUUUUUUAUGUUCUUAUUUCCCCCCCAAAAAUAUGAGAGAAGACCACUGGGGCAGAACCUCGGCAUGCAAUUAAUGUAUUGUCAUCAAAAUGUCUUAAAUAUUGGGACAGGAUUUUGGCAUGCAAGAUGAUGCAUCAUCGUUAUAAUUGUCUUUAGACGGAGGCAAAUUUUGGGAUACGUCAGAGUUAGCAAGUAUAAGGAUCAAGCUAGAGCCAAGCUUUGGUGUUCGACAUAAGUCAACCUUUCUUUUGAUCACUACUCCAAAUCAAUCGUUACUUUUUUUUUUACAUCUCAAGCAUUAGAGCCUACUAGCUAAGAAGUUCCUUAAUCCACUCGUUCCGCAACUAAGAUCAUCUCUUCUAGUCUAGACCUCUUACUUAGUCUCAUCACGGAUUAAUUUUUUCCUCAAAAUUAUUAUUAUUAUUAUUAUUAUAUCCAUUGCACAUGUAUUGACACUUCAUUUUAUGUUUAAAAUUUCAUUUUUAUUUAGAGAUUGCCUGGCAUUGAACAUUGCUUUGAUUGUGAAUUUGCAUUGAGGACGAUACGGUAAUGGCAGAUAGGUGUGAAUCAUUCAAUACCGGUGUGGAUUUAGUGGAAGUAGAAAAUGAUGAUGGCAAAAAGAAUGUGGUUCGAAGAAAUAUUUUGGUCAAUCUACCAAGUAUUUUUAGCCUUCUUUCAACCACUGCCACGACUUUCAACUCAACCAAAAAUAUUUGUUUAACCAUAUCACCUCGCUUAACUCCUGCUUAUACGAUCUCUCUGCAAAUACCAUCAAUAUACACUAGCCAUCUCAAAAUUUUCUAGCUUACUAUGGUGCUAAAUAUCUAUUCUCCCACAGUUGUGUUUCCUUUAAAGGAAAAAAAGCACGAGAAGCUACCAGUCUGUCAAAAUGCAAAAUGUGAAAAGGAGAUUCAGUCAAUCCACCAUGAAAAUUUGGGCAAAGAGAUCUACAAUCUGAGAAAAACACUUGAUGAAGAGUUGUGUUUAAGAAAUUGCCAAAGUCUAAGGUAUGAAGACUUGUGUAUACACCCAAAUGUUGAUCUUCCACCAGGAUAUAAGCUACCAAAAUUUAACACCUUCAGCGGUUCCGUUGCUCACUUAAAGGACUACUGCAGCAGGUUAAUUGGAAUUGGACAUAAUGAAGCCAUACUAAUGAGAUUAUUCAUUCAAAGUUUAUCAGGAUUGGCACUCGCUUGGCAUACCAAGCAAGAGUUUAACAAAUGGUGCACAUGGAAAAAUCUAGCUCGUGACUUUGUAAGUAAAUUUGAGUUUAACAUUGGAGGAGAUUUGCACAAGACCGAUUUUCUCAAAGUGAAGAAGAUGUCGUAUUAAUCCUUUCAAGAAUAUGCCAUGCGAUAGAGGUUAGAAGCUUAAAAAAUACAUCCUUCACUUUCUGAGGAUGAAUUGAUCUCAACUUUCAUCUAAAUUCAAGAAAGCCUAUAUUUUGAUAAGUUAUUUGGAGCUUGUGCAUGCAACUUCUCCGAUUUGAUUCGAAUUGGAAAAGAGAUAGAAAAUGGUAUUCAAGAAGGAAAAUAUUUAGAAGAAAUACAAGUUGUUCACCCUGUUUUCCAGCCGAAGACAUUGAAAAAUCCACAAAGUCUAACCAAUUCAGCUUUUGUGUGUCAAUUUCAAUGCCAUCAAAGUCACAAAUUUUCACAAUCUCUUGCUUUUUCUAACCUUUGAAAUGUUCAUCUACAACCUCUUUGUCAGCAAAAUUUUUAGAAUAGCUCCCGGCAACAGCUUAUUCCAAUCCAGUCUACCUCACUACCACAGAAGAAGAUAAAAUCUUUCUCUUUCACUCCUCUGGAUGAGCAAUUGACGAAUAUAUUUGAGAGAUUGAGAAAUAAGGGACCUCUAUAACAUAAAAAGGGAUUCAUACCUAAGUAUCCAUCUCCAAGCUUCGACUUAUUCAAAAGCUGUGUCAAUCAUUCAAACAUUCAAGGACAUGAAACUGAAGAUUGUCCAGCACUAAAAUUCAAGAUUCAAAGCAUGAUUAAAAGUGACAAGAUAAAGCUGCAGCAAGAGCCUCUAAUCGGCCACGGUAAUGUUGCAAACAAGGGCAUAAUUUUUGUUAAAGGUGAUCCAUCGAAAUUGGCAUCAAGGCACUUGAAGAGAAAGUGUGCAACAAAUCUGGAAGACUGGUAAGGGCAUUAUUUUGCAACUUGAUAAUAUCAUUUUCCUCCUCCAUCUUUUAUGAGUGGCUCUACAAUCGAACCUAGCAGAACUCUCGAAUUGGUUUCCUCGAGCAUAACGAUUAAAGUAUAACAGGAUCCUAUUUUUAAAAAUAUGUCAUCUAGGACUUAUGAAGUAGGAUGGUCAGUUUUUUGGGUAGUAUCUUUUUGGGAACAAUUAUGUAUUGUUGUGAACUUAAUGAUCAAUUCUUUGUAAAUUUUUAAAUUUUCUUUUAUGUAAGGUGAACUACAGUUGAACUGAUUUCCUUGGUGGAUAUGUAGGUGGCCCACAUAGGGACUCAGUCAUAUUAUUAUAGAAUUUCUACUUUCCUUUUGCAUGUAAUUGAAACUAUGUUCGACCUGAUUUCCUGACGGACACAGGAUACGUAGGUAGCCUACAUAAGGCUCGGUCUCUUUUUUAUGUUCUUAUUUCCCCCCCAAAAAUAUGAGAGAAGACAACUGGGGCAGAACCUUGGCAUGCAAUUAAUGUAUUGUCAUCAAAAUGUCUUAAAUAUUGGGACAGGAUUUUGGCAUGCAAGAUGAUGCAUCAUCGUUAUAAUUGUCUUUAGACGGAGGCAAAUUUUGGGAUACGUCAGAGUUAGCAAGUAUAAGGAUCAAGCUAGAGCCAAGCUUUGGUGUUCGACAUAAGUCAACCUUUCUUUUGAUCACUACUCCAAAUCAAUCGUUACUUUUUUUUUUACAUCUCAAGCAUUAGAGCCUACUAGCUAAGAAGUUCCUUAAUCCACUCGUUCCGCAACUAAGAUCAUCUCUUCUAGUCUAGACCUCUUACUUAGUCUCAUCACGGAUUAAUUUUUUCCUCAAAAUUAUUAUUAUUAUUAUUAUUAUAUCCAUUGCACAUGUAUUGACACUUCAUUUUAUGUUUAAAAUUUCAUUUUUAUUUAGAGAUUGCCUGGCAUUGAACAUUGCUUUGAUUGUGAAUUUGCAUUGAGGACGAUACGGUAAUGGCAGAUAGGUGUGAAUCAUUCAAUACCGGUGUGGAUUUAGUGGAAGUAGAAAAUGAUGAUGGCAAAAAGAAUGUGAUUCGAAGAAAUAUUUUGGUCAAUCUACCAAGUAUUUUUAGCCUUUUGUCUACCACUACCACGACUUUUAACUCAACCAAAAAUAUUUAUUUAACCAUAUCAUCUCACCCAACUCCUGCCUAUACGACCUCUCCGGAAAUGCCAUCAAUAUAUACUAGCAAUCUCAAAAAUUUACAGCUUACUAUGGUGCCAAAUAUCCAUUCUCCCACGGUUGUGCUUCCUUUCAAGGAAAAUAAGCAGGAGAAGCUAUCAGUCUGUCAAAAUGCAAAAUGUGGAAAGGAGAUUCAGUUAAUCCGCCACGAAAAUCUGGCCAAAGAGCUCUACAAUCUAAGAAAAGCACUUGAUGAAGAGUUACGUUUAAGAAAUUGGCAGAGUCUAAGGUAUGAAGACAUGUGUUUGCACCCGAAUGUUGAUCUUCCACUAGGGUAUAAGCUACCCAAAUUUAACACUUUCAGCGGGAAAGGAGAUCCUGUUGCACACUUAAAGGACUACUGUACUAGGUUAAUCAGAAUUAGGCAUGAUGAAGCCAUACGAAUGAGGCUAUUCAUUCAAAGUUUAUCAGGAUUGGCGCUAAAUUGUUAUACCAAGCAAGACUUUAGCAAAUGACGCACAUGGGAAGAUAUGGCUCGUGACUUUAUAAGGCAAUACGAAUUUAAUAAUAGAGGUGAUCUGCACAUGCUCAAAGUGAAGAAGAUGCCGCAUGAAUCCUUUCAAGAAUAUGCCAUGCGAUAGAGAUUAGAAGCUUCACAAAUACAACCUCCACUUCCUGAGGAUGAAUUGAUCUUAGCCUUCAUCCAAAUUCAAGAAGGCCUAUAUUAUGAUAAGUUGAUUGGAACUUGUGCACACAACUUCUUCAACUUGAUUCGGAUUGGCAAAGAGAUAGAAAGUGGCAUUCAAGAAGGAAAAUUUGUACAAGCAAUACAAGUUGUUCAUCAUAUUUUCCAACCGAAGACAUCGAAAAAUCUACAAGGCAUAACCAAUUCAGCUUUUGUACAUCAAUCGCAAUGCUAUCAAAGUCACCAAUUUUCACAAUCUCAUGCUUCUUCUGACCUUCACAACGUGUAUCUCCAGCCUCUUCGUCAACGAAAUCUUUAGAAUAGCUCCCAACAACAGUUUAUUCAUGUGCAAACCACCUUACAACCAUGGAAGAAGAUGAAACCUUUCUCUUUUGCUCCUUUAGAUGAGCCAUUGACAGAUAUAUUUGAGAGAUUGAGAAAUAAUGGACUUCUGUAACCCAAAAAGGGAUUCAUACCUAAGUAUCCAUCUUCAGAUUGAAUUUAUCUAAAAAUUCUGCUUAUCAUUCAAAUAUUCAAAGACAUGACACUGAAGAUUGUCUAGCACUAAGAUUCAAGAUUCAAAGUCUUAUUGAGAGUGACAAGAUAAAGUUGCAGCAAAAGCCUUCAAACAUCAAUGAUAAUGUUGCAAACAUGGAUAUAAUUUUUGUUAAGGGUGAUCCAUCGAAAUUGGCACCAAGACACUUGAAAAGAAAGCGUGCAACACGUCUAGAAGACUAACAAGGGCAUCAUUUUGCAACUUGAUAAUAUUAUUUUCCCUUUUCCUCCUUUAUGAGUAGCUACUAUUCUGUAAUUUGAGAAUAUCAAUCUCCCAUUUUGUUCCUUUAUGAGUAGCUACUAUUUUUGUAACUUAGUACCACGCUUCUUUUCUUCCUAUAUAAGAAGCUACUCUUUCACAAUCCUUUUCAGACUUUUAUAUGAACUAUGUUUGACCUGAUUCCUAUUAGCAACGGGAUACGUAGGCGCCUAUUCUGGGUUCGGUCAUAAUAUUAUAAAAAAAAAUCAUUUUCCCCCAUAACCAAAACUGGUACAAUUCUGCAUAUAACCUAUCACAAUUUUAGCAAAGCAGAUGUUUGAGAUCAUAGGCCACAUUCACAUCAUCAAAUAAUAGCACUGCCAUAACUAUAAGAAAUGCAAAUUCAAACUCAAAACUUUAUGGUUCAAUGCAAGGCGAUCAUUUUCUUUUAUACUAAUAAUUUUUCGUUGAGUAAUACAGAUGUUGAUUUUUGAGUAUCCUUGAAGGAUAAUACAUGUUAGCAAAGCAUGAAAGGUAAUGCAAACAUGAUGCAAAGUUAAUGUGAUUUAAAUUUCAGAACUUACAAUUCUCUUGGAGUGCAGGAACCCUCUUUGCAGCUAAGUUUGCCAAAGAGGACAAUCCUAAAUCAUGGGUAUCACGUUAUGAAUAUUCACUGAUGUGGCAUUGUAGCAUUAAUGUUUGCUAUAUCAAAAGCACUGCACGUAAAUUUUCACUACUGCAAAGGCACUACAUAGAGUUUCCACUAGAAAAAUGUAUUAGGCUCUCUGCACUGCAGUAGUAUUUGAAAGUUUGCAGUGCAUAUCGUGUUUGUCUGCCCUAAAAUAGGACAUAUGGGUUAGUCCAUCAUAAAAGGGACACAGUGGGUUUGUCCACCUUAAAAUAAGAUAUGUUGGGUCCAUCUACCCUAAAAUAGGAUAUAGUGGGUUAGUCUGCCCUCAAAUAAGACCUUUUUCAUGUUUGCCUUCAAUUUUACAUUUAUUCUUGAAUAAAUCGCAAUGCCUUAAUCAUUUAUUUACUUUUACCCUUAUUAUUGUUAUUAAUUAGUUAAGCAUUGAUGCUAUCCUUUAAAUUGUCUCAAAUUAUUAGAGAAAAUCGCACCGAGCUCUCUGCAUUGGAUUGAUAUUUUAAAGUUUGCAAUAUACUUUGGGUUCAUCCGCCCUAAAAUAGGACAUGUUGGGUUGGUCCACCCUAAAAUAGGACACGUUGGGUUCGUCCACCCUAAAAUAGGACACGUUGGGUUCAUCCAUCCUAAAAUAAGAUAUGUUGUGUUCGUCCACUCUAAAAUAGGAUAUAAUUGGGUUAGUCUGCCCUCCAAUAAGACAUUAUGCCUGUUUGCCUUUAAUUGAAUAUUUAUGUUCACAUGCCUUUGAUUGAAAAAAUCGCAAUGCAUUUAUCAUUUAUUUAUUUUAGUUAGAUAUGCACUCUAUGCUAUCUUUAGAAUCCCUUGAAAAAUCAAGUUUAAUUACUCAUUUGUCCUUUAUCAAGCAUUGUUUUUCAUUUCAAUUGGGUCCAUCCACCCUAAAAUAGGACAUAUUGGCAAUUUGGAUUCGUCCAUCCUAAAACAGGACAUAUUAGGACAAUAUGCCCUCUAAUAAGGAUUUUUAUGCAUACAUGUUUUCAAUUGAAUAUGUAUACUUACUUGCAUCUAAUUGAAUAUCUAGCAAUGCCUUAAUUAUUUAUUUGUUCAUUAUUAAGCAUUGAUUUUGCAAAUAUUUCUACUUAUAUUGAUGAAUUUUGCAAUCAUAGAAUUUGAAGUUGUUACUUCUAAAAAUACUACACGCUCGACCAAGCGCAUCUAGAGAACCGAUGGAUGUAUUUAUCUUAUGAUCUCUUUGCAAGAAUUUUAUUUAUAUAUUUUCUUGUUUUACAUUGUUUGCUAAAUUUUCUAUCAAGAUUUGGUAGGAAGUAGAAUUAUAUGCAGAAAGAGGAGACACAGCACAAUGUGGAACUUUAUCUUAGCAAUGAACUGGGGGAAUUUGUUGGAGAGUCAAGCUCACCAACAAUGGUCAAGGAUCUACUCUUGAAUCUUACUCAACCUACGUCUCACAUUUGGGACGCGUAGAAAUUUUACAUCAGCCUUUCAUUUUUUAAUUAACAAAAUCUUAAAUCCCGCAUGUUUUCCAUCUCUAGCCCCUCUUUUUUGUUUUCUUUAUCAACCUUGAUACCCAGUUUUACCGUAACUCGAUACUGGGAUAGUUUUUAAAAAAAGGGUAUCGCUCUUUAGCUAUGAAUUUACUUCAUUUCAUCCAAUCCCUCUAUUUUAUUAAUCCAUAGUUUCAAUUUCACUCUAAUCCCUUCACUCUUUAUCCUCCUAAAACUUUCAUUUUUACUUCACUUUAUUUUUUUAAUUUUAUUUUCUUACUUGUUCAAGCCUAACCUUUUGCCCAGCCGCCACUGUCAUUUUUAAAGACUUUGUGAGUGUUGUUUUAAAACCCACUAUAUUCUCCCUUUAUCAUAAUUCUUGAACUACCUAUGGCCUGAUUCUCAUGCAACUCGAGAUAUGUAGGCAACUUGGAGAUCGGAGUUUGACCACAAUCCUCCCCAACAUUCUUUACGUGUAUCCUUCUAGAUCCUGUAGACUAGGACAAAAUUAGGUUACUAGUCAACUUCUUUGUUCAGAAACUCCUUCAUCCUUUCCAACCAAAGAGGGACAACUAUUGACACCCAAUUUUGUCCCGCCUUUCUUUCAAGUCAUCUUUUUGUGCUUCUAAAUAAUUUUGAUAUAUUAAAAUUAAAAUAAUGAUAUAUAUGUGUAUGAUAUUCCUAUAAUUAGGAGUUCAUAAAAGUCUUGUAACUAUUUGUUUUUAAAACUAAGAAUCAACGAUAUUAUUAUUAUUAUUAUUAUUAUUAUUAUUAUUAUUAUUAUUAUUAUUAUUAUUAUCAGCUACUACCAUUUUGGUUAUAUUUUAGAUUAUCGUCGCAUUUUCUAAACUUUCACAAAAAAAGAAUUUUUUUUUGUUUAUCGAAUAAGUAUUUUGCAACUUUUUUUUCAUUAUAAAUUUCAUCGUUUUAUCGUGCAACUUUGUUUAAGUUAUUUAUAUUUUUUUUAGCAUAAAAUAAUUUUUGUCAUUUAUUCAGAUAUUUAUAAUAUGUUCUUGUUAAAAUUGUUAUUUAAUUUAAUUUAGAAAUCCCAAAGAAUAUAAGAAAGGAGGUAUUUUUAAAAUCAGCCCAUUUAUAACAUUCUUGAAAUUUGGCGCCCAAUUUCAAGAUUGACCCAUAAAGCCCAUCUUUCUCUUUCCUUUUCCAUCUCAUUGCCAUGUAGACGCCAUGUUUGCACCACACAAGGCACCAAAUAGUCAUAGCACACGCCAAAUACACGCUUGUUACACUCUCCCACACCCUUGCACACGCCUAGCAACCCCACCACGUGCCUUUUUCCUAUUGGCUAGUCAAACUCAAUUAAUUCUCAAGUAUAGCAUACUACCUAUUUUGUCCUCAAUUAUUAUGCUUAAGAUACCCAUAAUACCCUCAAGACCCCAAAAUUAGGCCUAAAUUUCCUCUCUCUUAUAUGCAAAAUACGGUUUUCCCUUUCUAAACAUAUCUCAACAUUUUUUUUUCUUCUUCUAGUAAAGUUGCAGACUCUUUUCUCCAUGGACAGAGCUUGCUUCUCUACUCUUAUAUGAUGGCCAUAUCAGCCACGUGAGGGACUAAAUCCAUCAAACUUCAUAGCUUCCAACUCCAAACAUGGUGGUUGAUUGGAAUUUGAAAUUGAAAACUCAAAGAUCCCGCCUAAACUUGAAGCCCUAAUGUUUCUAUAUAAAUAUUGGCGUUUGGGAUCCACAAGGGUUGUUUCUUUUUUUUGCCGCACCCCCCUGCAUAAAGUUAUUUUUUUGGCCACUUAUUCCCUCUUGAACCUCACUGCAUUAUAUUUUAUUAUCUCUCUCUUUGUCUCGGCCUUUCGGAUUUCGGCCUCAACGAAGUUUUUCACCAUCGAGCGCGUUCUGAGUUUGCCUGUCGCUUGAGUUCGAGCCUAGAUCAGUGGCCAAAGCACCCUAGUUCACUGCCCCGCAAAAGUUCGGAGCAAAUGGAGUUUUAAUUCAAGACUCUAGCUAAUCAAGUCUCAAAAUGAGACGACCUUACCUCUCCUCCGCAAAGACAUCAUAUUCUAUACUCUCAAGUCAAAUCCGCUAGCAAUUUAAAGCCUCUUUCUUUCUUUCAAUCUCUAUUUCCUUUGUAUACAUAUAUCUUAUUAUCUUCAUUACUUUAUUUUUGCACAUUGUUGUUUAGAAUUGGUGUUUUUGUUUGCUUAUGUUUGAAUUAGUAUAAGCUUAUUAAAAUGGAUGAUAAAUUUAUCUAUUAUCCUCCCCACCCUUGGAUUAGAUUGUAAUUUUAAACUAAUUACUUGGCUUAGGCGUAUGACUAGUAUAGUUGAAGAUUAAAAUUUGAUAGGAAAAAAUAUAUCUUUUAGAGUUUGAUGGCCUAAUUAUUAAAAAAUCUUUUUCCUUUAGAGUCAAAUUAGUUUUGACUAAUUAGUAACUUUGAUUUAAUCAAAUAUCGGUUUUGGUGGUAGGAAAAUUUAUUAUUGUUAGCUCGAUAGUCGGCUUUAUUUAUUUUGGAUGUAGUAAUUAAUUUUGUUUCACAUAAAAGAGGUCAACUAUGCCAAUUUGAUUUCAUGAGGCAUUCCUAGGAUUUUUAAAUGGCAAAAUUUAUUGUCACAAAAAAUAUGUCUUUUCUUGAUAAAAAAUAGAAUCUUAAGCCACUAGUAGAUUUAAGCAAUUAUAUAUCUUCAAAGCUAUCUUCCAAUAAUCUAUUUAGAAUGGUGUGUCUUAUUUUUUUCUUACUUGCACUUAUUUUAUAAAAUUGAUAAAGGAAGGGCAAAGGUUAUUUUUUUUAUAAAAUGUGCAACUUUUAUAACGUGACUAAUCUUUCGUUUAAACUAUUAGUUAGGAACCUUUGUAAAUCUCUUUUUCUAAAAAAUGAUUUGAAAUAACUUUCUUUUCUCACCAUCAAAUAAAAUAUAGUACCUUUUUCAAUUUGAUUCCAUGAAGUCUUUUCUUAAGAUUUCAAAUGGCAAAGAUAUUAGUUUAAAACAUAAUGAUUCAUUUAGUAUACGAUACUUAACCAUCUUAUUUACUUCUAUUUUGUGAAAGUUGAGCAAAAAUAAGUAAAUAGCAAAACAGUAAUUUUUUUUUUAAAUGUAAAAUGUGAAGUUAUUAAUAUAAUUAACCUUAUCAAUUAUUAAUUGAAAGCUUUUGUAGAGAAUUGACUUGAAAUAAUUAUUUUGUUAUUAUUAUCAUUAUUAUUAUUUUAUUUAUUUAUUUAUUUAUUUUGACAACACUAAGGUUGAAUAACUUUAGGAAUUAUUUUUUUUAUAAUUUUCAAAAGUGGGUAAGGAUAUAAAACUAUUUCUCUCUCUUCUGUUCCUCUCUAACUAACGUCUCCUUCAACGUCUCCUUUGACAUGACCGCGCCAUCUCCGGCAAAACAGAUGUCGGCGUAGUAAUAUCGCCGACGACAGGUAAGUAGACUACUCUCUCUCUCCCCCUGGUCUCUUUCUUCCCUCUUCUUCUUGCUCUACUGCUGGUUUGGUCUAUCACCGAUGUGUGGAUUUUUAUUGUUUCCACUCCGGUAAUGGAUAGAUAGGAAGAAGUGGCACCGACGACGGGAGAGAAUCAGAAAAAAAGAGUUAUAGACGAGGAAAAAGCAGAUCGGUCUGGGGUUGGUUCAGGCGAACUAAAUUGAUUACCGUCGGUGACCCUCCGAUGAAGUUUCAACGGCCAUUUUCUAUCUCAAAUUGCCAGAAUCCAGCAUAGUAAGUAGGAUUUGAGCUCUUGCUUUACGUAUCCCGGUGACUUCUAACCUCUGCACUUUAUUUUAUCGCACUUUACUGUAUAAUGCUUUAUCUGAUAUCUUCACUAUUUUUCUUUUGUGUGGGCUAAUUUGUUGCGGGCUGUCUGUUGCUAAUUGUGAUUGUUUUUUGUUCUUUGAGUGUGCCUUCUAUAGUUAUUGUUGUUUUAGCCUUCGCUAUGCUUUUGUUGAGUAGUGGCUUGGGUGACAUAUAAUGGAAUAGGGUUAUGUCUUGAGGGGAUAGGGGUGGGGUGGGGGGCUAGUACUGGGUUAGGUCGGAGAUGCCGAGUGUGAAGUAUUAGGAGAAAGGAUAUGCAAUUUUAUAGGUUGAGGGUAGGGUCGUGGAACAUAGGGACCCUUUAAGGAAAGUCGAUAGAACUGGUAAAGAUACUUAGGAAGAGAAAGAUUAAUAUUGCGUCUGUCUAGGAGACCAAGUGGGUAGGUUCUAAGGCUAGGAUGUAGAUGGGUACAAGUUGUGGUACUCAGGUAGUGAGAGGUGUAGGAAUAACGUAGGUAUCUUAGUGGACGAGGAGCUUAUGGAGCAGGUAGUGAAGGUUAAAAGGGUUAGUGAUAGGGUGAUGACUAUUAAGUUGGUCCUUGGGGAGUAUACUUUGAUUAUCUGUAGUGUGUAUGCACCACAAGUGGGCCUGGACGAGGAGAAGAAGAAGAGUUUUUAGGAGGUUUUAGAUGAGGUGGUUAGAGGCGUGCCUAGUUCGGAGAAGAUUUUCUUAGGAGGAGAUUUUAAUGGUCACAUCGGGUCAUUGCCGUUAGGGUAUGAUGAUAUGCAUGGAAGCUUUUGGUUUGGGGUUAGAAAUGAUGAGGGAGCUGUUUUUUUGGAUUUUGCAAGGGCCUUUGGGUUGGUGGUGGCGAAUUCCUACUUUCCGAAAAAAGAGAAGCAUCUGAUUACUUUCCGUAAUAGGUUAACCAAGACUCAGAUUGACUUUUUCCUGCUUAGAAAGGGGGAUAGAGCUUUGUGUAAGGAUUGUAAGGUAAUUCCGAGUAAGAAUCUGGUGACCCAGUAUAGACUCCUGGUGAUGGACUUGGUUAUCAAGAAGGGCAAGAAGAGGCGGGGUGGAAGGGGUCGACCUAGAGUUAGAUGGGGUGACCUGACUCUGAUUAGUGCUUUGAAAUAAGGGUAAAGUUGGAGGGGAUGGGGGUUUGAAAGUGUAGUGGGGACGUGGAUAAUAUGUGGGAUGGGGCUGCUGAUGCAUCAUAGAGUAUGCUGGAGAGGUGUUGGGUGUCUCGAGGGGCUGAUCUGGCUGGUAUUAGGGGGAUUGGUGGUGGAAUAAAGAUGUUAAGAAGAAGGUAGAGAUAAAGAAGAUGGCUUAUGCUAAGUAAAUUGAGAGUCAGGUUGAAGAGGAGAAGCGGGUGAGCAGGGAGAAGUACAAAUUAGCUAACAAGGAGGCUAAGUUAGCAGUUACGACUGCUAAAAUAGCACCUUUUGAGAGUCUGUAUAAGGGGUUAGAGGAGAACGGCGAGAAAAAAAGAUUAUUUAGGCUUGCCAAGGUUAGGGAGCGGAAGGGUAGGGAUCUGGACCAAGUGAAGUGUAUUAAGGGGGAGCAUGGCAGAGUAUUGGUGGAAGAUGCCCUCAUUAAGAAAAGAUGGCAGUCGUAUUUUCAAAGGCUCUUAAAUGAUAAGGGGUACAAAAGUGUUGAGUUAGGGGAGUUGGAGCACUCCGGGGAGUGUCGUAAUUUCAGCUAUUAUCAGCGUUUUAAGGUAAAGGAGGUCAGUGAGGCUAUUCGCAAGAUGCAAAAAGGUAGGAAAAUGAGGCUCGACGAGAUCCCAAUAGAUUUUUGGAAGUUUUCUGGCGGGGCAGGAUUGAGGUGGCUGCUCAACUUGUUUAACAAUAUUUUCAAGUCCGCAAAGAUGCCCCAGGCAUUUAGAUGGAACACGAUGAUCCCUUUAUAUAAGAAUAAGGGUGACAUUCAGAGUUGCAACAACUACUGGGUUAUAAAGUUGCUGAGACACAUGAUAAAGAUUUUGGAGAGGGUGUUGGAGCGAAGGUUGAGGAAGAUUGUGUCUAUUUUGGAGAAUUCAUUUGGUUUUAUGCCUGGUCACUCUACGACUGAGGCAACUCACCUGGUGCAGAGACUAGUUGAGCAAUA
rnacentral:lncRNA from 1 species